rnacentral:lncRNA from 1 species
UUUUUUUUUUUUUUUUUUUGUAGAUUAUUCACUCGUUUUGUGUUUCCUUCUUUUUCUGGGACAGAGACAGCGUUGUUCGUGUUGGGAUCUGAUAGUCUUUUCAAUUGGGCCCUUCGGCAUUUUAUGCAAAUUGUUGGGCUCUCGACCCUUUCCUUUUCACAUUGUCUCGAAGAAUAAGUAAUCCUUGCUUAGCAUAGAAACGGGAUAUAUACCUGAUCCUUGCUUGGCAGAAGAUGGGACUUUCGGCAGGAAAAAAUCCACGAUCCAGGGGUAAGGACCAUGUGACGUUUGUCUCAUAAUCGACUGGAGGAGGAUAGAUUCCCAUUUUAUGUUUCCUUUAGCCUUUUCGAGUGGUUCUUAGAUAAAUGAGGCAUGGUUUCCAAUUUUGAGCUUAUGCCAUGGAGGACUUCGAAUUGGGUUUUCAGAAUUUUUAGUGAAACAUUUUUCAAGUGAUCAUGUGGAAUCAAUCAUGGCAUCAUAAAUGAGAUAUUCUUGCGUGCUAGUGUGCUGAAGUUGGAGCUCGCAACGUUCAGGAUUUGACUGCCUUUGUGGUAAGAAUCAGUUGUGCUUUCCCAAGCACAAAGCUAAGCAUUGACCAGCACUAGUUCCGAUCACAUCCCUAGUGGCACCUGGUGUUUUUUUUUUUUUUUUUUUCGACACAGGGGUGUUUGGGUCAAUUUUUAAAGGAACCCGACUAAUCCCCUGCGACCCGGACCUUGGCUCCCCAACCCGACCCAAGCACGGUAAGUGCGCGGAGGAAUCCAGUAGCGCAGAGACUCGAACCUGGGACCUAGAGGUUCACCAGGGGAGGUGCCGUCUCUGGAUCAUUCACGCGGGGGCAGUGGCACCUGGUGUUAGCUUUGCUACUUUCUCAAUACAUUUUUCUAUAAAUAAAUCUUAUAUAUAUUGACCAUAUAUACACUAUCACAAUUGUUGGAUAUAUAAUACGUAUAUAAAAUUUGAGUUUCAAAUUCCAAUUUCGAAUUAUGUAUCAUGUAUCUAAUGAUAAAAGUGUAUACACUGUAAGUGUAUAGAGAAUUAAUCAUUUUCCUAUUUAAAUCUCAUGCCUUUAAGAUUUAUUCAGCAAAGAAUAUAUUAACUGUAGUCGACUGCCUAUUUAUCCCUGAACCUAAAGAAAUAUAUAGUAAAUCAUUGACAAAUACAUAGAUUAGACAAAAGAAUUUCAUAGUGCUGUACUAGUAAUUAAAAGAAGGAUCAUGAGAAGUUUGCUCUUGAGGAAGUUCUUCACAGACUUCUUUUAUUUUUGACAAUCUAAGUGGAUAUUUUAUUUUGAACCACCAUAGGCUUACAUUACUAAUGGUUUUCCUUUUCCUUUCUCGAGUAUAAUUAUAAUACUCUUAUGCCUAGUUUGGGAGAUGAGAUUUGCCACGUUUGAGAGUUUUAGUGAGAAAUAAAAAGGAAGAGAAUCCGACUAAUUUGAAAGGAACAAGAAACCUGCUACAGUUUAAAAAAAAUUUCAGCCAAAAUCGAGCAAAAAGCAAAGGAAAGCUACUGCAAAAAUAUUUUAAAUUACCCAUUCUUAUCCUUUUUUCUCUCUCGUAACUUAACCUUUCUCUUUUUUUUUUUUUUGGUAUCCUCAACUCACAAACCAGACGAAUCAUGCAUUUGCUUUCAACAAUUUUCAAGAAGAACAUGUACAUCAGCAGAACGAACUGGACCUGUGGUCGUGGACUGGGCCUGGGCUUCACAAUGCAGGUAGCCGAUUCAAAUUUGAGCCCAGGACAUGAUGGUGGUCUUGUCUGCAAAGAACCCACCUCACCCAUGGGCCUCAACAUGUUUAAUAUAUAUCGAACCCACGACCACGUGGUUAAAAGCCACGCGCUCUACCGGCUGAGCUAAGACGGCAUGAUUGGUGAUUCGACGUUAGCCGUUACACAAGGCAUUCGCAACGGAGUGCAAUCCGCGAUUGGACGUUAGCCGUUACACAAGGCAUAGCACAUGUUCAUUUCAUUAUGUUGCCUUCUUUUAUUACCCUAUCUCUCGUUUACAGAGUGUCUAGAAUCAAAUUGUAUAUUUAUUUUAAUAAUUUACAAUAAAUAUCUGAUAAAAUUUAAAGCUUUUAAAGUUGUAAAAUGAAAUCUACAACCAAUUUAUCAUGAUGCGUGUCAUGGCUAUUAGACUUCCAUUAUACUCUCAUUAUGGAAGAGGGUAUACUGGUCGAGCCUUCUCUCACGCAAGCAACUUCCAUAAUUUUUGAAUUGAAUUCAGUUAAGCUGCAUUUGGCUCAGAGAUACUUGGCAUAAGAUUUGAAAUUCUUUCACAUUUUUCUAGUUAUUUGGAUUAUUUAGGAGGUAUUUGGGUUCCUAAUUCAUAGAUUCUUUAAGUGUAUUUUAAAUAUAGAAAUAAUUAAUGAAUUACAAACUCAAAUUUCUCCUAAACAAUUUAAACAACAAGAGGAAUUUUGCAGAGUUGCAAAUCUUUCGUCAAAUCCCUGAUACAAACAAAGCCUUAGUGAUUGACAUUUUCAUUGGUUCUGGUAAUUUGAGAAUUUCCUUUUUUUUCUCGACUCGAUUGUCCUUAAUAAUUCCAUUCAUUCUUGAUUAGCGCAUUCCUUCCGGCCUUCAGGAUUUUCUUCUAUUCCAUCUUUGAUCUGCAUAAAUAUUAAAUAGUAGUACAUCAAUUGAAUUAACCCAAAGUCAUGCUCAAAAUAGAACUUAGAAAGGCAACAUCUCUCCACGCUUUUAAUUUAGACGCAACUUUUAAUUAUAGGUUCUUUCAAGUAGUUGCAAAACUGGAUGCAACAAUUAUUCUCAAUCUUUUGCUAUAUAUGGUCGUGGCUACAAAAAAAAUACCUUAUACUUUUAGGCCAAACAUUAUUUAUUAAAAUUUAAGAAUCCAAAUGUCAAGCUUGAGCUUAUAAAGUAUGAAGUCUAACCUUGGUGAAGGUAAAUGCAACAGAAAUUUCUCCAGAGUAGGACUUGUCCGAUUGAACAACUCUAUAGAGGCGAGGUUGAACUUCAAGCUUCCCCUUCUCUGCCCCGAUUGAUAGUAUAUCUUUUACGUACACCCUACAUGCACCAAGUUAUUAAUUUAAACACCAUAAAGAGAAAAAAUUAUGUCAACAGCAUAUUACAGUCACAAAAAUUGAUGCAAAAAGAAGUGAAAUAUUAUAUAUAUAUAUAUAUAUAUAUGUGUGUGUGUGUGUGUGUAUAUAUAUGUAGAGAGGAGGAGGGUUACGUAGAUUCGCCAACAAAAACAUCGUCGGUGAACUUGUGUUGGUCCAUGACGCGAAAUAUGAUCUUAUACACUCGAUCUUCUCCGCCAUCCGGAUACUUCACCUCAAACGCGAAUUUCUCAUUCCACUCUCGUUUGUUUCCUUUCCCUGCAAUUUUUUUUUUAUUACCAAAUUAAGUUCAAAGUUUUCGAGAGCUAGAUAACAUACUAAUAUGGGGAUUACCUUUGGCUACGCAGCUGGUACGCUCCUGCUCUCCGUACAGGAUGUGUACGUAAGGCUUUGUUGCUAGAUUACAAGGAUUUAGGCAAUUUAAGCAACCUACGAAGAAUAUGUUUUUUUUUGUUAAAAAGAAAAGAAAAAAAAAACGAGGUUGUGGACAGAAAUUCCUUAGAGAAUAAAGAAGAGAUAUAUAUAUACCAGGAAUGCAUUUGUCUCUGUCUCUGAUACCUUGAGCUUCCACCAACAGGACCUCCAGCCUGCCGUUUGCCAUCCGAGUUUAGGAAGAUGAUCAGUAAGUAGUGACUUCUCUGGGAAGUUCUUGCAUUUUUAAAGCUGCCCGGCGGACCUAAUGCUAAUGGAUUAGGUAGGCUGACCAAAGAGGUUCUAAGAAAAUUUUUCCUGAAAAGCUGUCUACGUAAACAAUAAAGAAUUAGGAGCAAGUGGGAUUUGUUUCGGAUCCAUAUUAAGUUGAAAUUGUAUGACAAAGCCGUAGUUGGGAUUUAUGACUAUUGAGUAAUCGAUGACUUGGAGAUGAAGAUCAACAUGUAAUAUAGCAGCUAAGCUUCCUUAAGCAGGCAGCUAGCAUUUGAUACCGCGUCAAUUGGACGUUGCGGAGCUGGACCAUUUGACGCAGGUUACCCGAAAACCAACCCGUUCCUUCAUCCAGCUGUGUAUUUUGACUGCCAAGAAGACAGCAAACUCCCGUCUUUUUCUUUUUCUUUUUUCCUUUUUUCUAAGGGUGCAAACUCCCAUAUUUAAUUUCAGGAAAAGGUGUGGGAAAAAAAACACAAGAAUUAAAAUACUACAUAGAAACCGCGUGUAAUAUUACUCCUACCAUUCAUCAGACAUCAAUCAGAUCAGUUGUUUGUUUGUGUAAUUCUAAUUACACCACAUCUUACUUUUUACGAAUUCUUGUGUUUGGAUUGCAUUUUCUGUCAUUUUUCAUGAAAAAAUUAUUGUAGCGAUUUGAUAUAUGUGAGGGAAAAAGGUGAUAGGGAAAUGUGAUCACGGAAAACGACAAUAUUUUCCGACGGAAACAAGCAAUCCAAACAAGGCCUUAGUAUAUCAACUUCUUUAGGUUGUGGUUAUUACAUAAUUUUUUUUUUUUUUUUAUUCACUCGUUUAAUUAGAAGUAGCUAAAACAAACAUGUAACUUUUGAGUUCAACCGUCGUAAGGUGAAUUCCAAAACCGUCAAACAAAACAAAACAAUUAGGUAGGCCAGGACCAUAUAUUGUGGACAAUUUUUCUACGCGGCAAAUUAUUCUUUUGCCAAAUUUCGUCAGAUUGUUUUUUUACUUUUGCUUUUCGUUGUUGGACUUCAACUCACCCACGGCCAGGGGCCAUGACAGUUUGGGCUCCCUUGGGCUUCUCUAUGCAAUGCCAUGCACCCAUAACCAAGGGGGCUUGAUUAGUACAACGAGAUUUGGGCUCGAUGGAGAUUAAAUUGGGAUAUCUGCAUUUGAAUCUACGUCUUCUUAUCUACUACUCCGGGCCAGCAAUCCAAAAACUCAAGCACCUGCUGCCAAGCCCAUGAAACAAAAUUAAUAAAUAAAGGGUCAUGGACUACACAUAUAAACAGAGAGCUUAUAGCACACAUGCAAAGAGUUCAAACGCUACAAACUACAAAAUUACAAACCAAAGAGCAACAAGUUCCUAAUCUUUCCUCGCAACAUCUGAUGCAAAGAUCCAUCUACCAAAAGCAUGCAAAACCCUUGCAUUACAAGGAAGGAAGAGCAGCAGCUUUUUAAGCCUCGCCAUGACCACCGUAUUACUAAAAAGCAAAAACUGUACAUCACUUGGGAAUAUAGCAAAAAAUUGAUCAAUGCUCUCGCAAUGGAAUUGUCUUUCCUCCUUCCUUCAAGCAUAAAGUGGUGAAGAUGAAGGUCUAGGGUAAGCCGUCAUUCCAGGAGCUUCUUCAGCACUUCUUCUGCAAUGCCUAGGCCCACCACCUGAAUUGCCAUGCAGAUUUAACUGGCUGUCCUUCUGGUCAUGGUUUGAUGUGCCUUUCAAGUCCUGGAGCUGCUCUAGAGUUGUUACAACCUCGUCCAUGCUUGGCCUCACCUUGGGGUCCACGGACAAGCAGUGAAUGGCAAGAUUAGCCACCCUUAGUGCUCGACCCAUGGAAUACUGGCCUUCAAGACGGGCAUCCAGAAUGCGGAAAAUUCGGCGUUUGUUGGUAAGGUAAGGUUUUGCCCAUUCCACUAGAUUGUGUUCCCCAGUUGGCCGAUUCUUGUCUAUUGCUUUUUUCCCAGACAACAUCUCCAGAAGAACAACUCCAAAGCUGUAGACAUCGCUCUUUGCAGUUAAAUGACCUUUUCAGCAAGGAUAAAAGUUAAUAAUGGUGCACAUUAUUAUGUUACUAAAACCAGAGUGAGUUCCAUCAAUCAAUUGUUUACCAUAAAAGUUAAUGAGAAAUAAAUGUAAACCAGAAGAGUGAUAAAAAUGUCCAUCUCUUUAACAGCAAGGACAGAAGGUUACGGAAAUAUCAUACUUCAUGGCCAGUCACAUCCAUGCUCAUCAUAUUACCGUCAUGUUAUAUGUUUAUUCCUUGCAUCAUGAUCACAUCACCAAUUUGUCACAGAUUUCCCCGUAUAUAUAUAUGCAUGUGUGUGUGUGUGUUUGCGUGCAUGCGUGUACACACACAUACAGACCGACACAAGUUGAUCACCCAUCAGAUUGUAUUCUGCAACAGUACUACAUCAUCUUCUUCUGAACAGAGUAUCAAAGUGUAAUGACUAAUCAUCUUUCAAAAUAAUUGUUUCUUUAAAAGAAUUUUGGUUGCAGCAAUUUACAAAAGAAGAGUUCACACACGUGAUAUAGAACAUGAAAUGCCAUAAAACAGAAACGCAAAUCAACCGGAACAAUGGAGGAAAGCUAAAUACAGAAGCUUAGCAAAAAAUGUUCUAUAGCAUGUAUUCAAGUCGGGAACAUGAAACAAAGAUACAAUGACAAUGGUAUUAUGACACGCUAAGUUGAUUUACCUGUUGAUAGGUACUCAGGGGCAGCAUAACCAUAGGUCCCCAUAACCCUAGUAGAGACGUGGCUCUUAUCACCAGUUGGCCCAUCCCUGGCCAACCCAAAAUCAGAAAGUUUGGCAUUGUAGUUCUGCAGAAUUAAACCAGAAAAAACAGCAAGGGAAAUAGAAAUCAGAAGACAGAUACUAGUCAUGUCAUGCGUAAUAGAAGCAAGAAAGUUCAUUAUCUGUUAAAAUAUUAUGGAAAAUGGUUCUCGAAUCACAUACGGAGUCAAGGAGGAUAUUAGAAGUCUUGAAGUCCCUAUAAAUAACUUUUGUUUCAGCACUGUGAAGAAAGGCAAGUCCCCUGGCAGCGCCAAGAGCAAUUUUCAUACGAAGGCUCCAAGAGAACGGCUGGAAGUAAGAUCCUUCUGAUUGAAUGAAAAUCAACAUGUGAGAGAACAUUUCCAUUAUUAAUAGAUAGAAUAAACCAGGAAACUCUUGUCACAACUAAAAGGUCUAGUCCUAAGAGGACAUAAGAACCUACUUCUGAAUAGAUGAUUUUCCAUGCUACCCUUGGGCAUGAACUCGUAGACCAAAAGUCGGUGGUCAUCCUCCAAGCAGUACCCGAUCAACUUCACAAGGUUAGGGUGACGCAGCUGCCCAAGAUAAUUAAUCUCGGCCUGCAAAUCCAAAAGUUCAAAAAGAAAAAUUAGCUAGUUGACAGGUGAAGAGAUAAUUCUUCAAAACUUUAGUGCAAUAUGAAUCACUUUAAGUGUGCCUAAGUGCUGUGUUGACUUAAAAGAUUCAAAGUAUUUCUAAGAAGCCUACGUAACAAGCAAGGCCAAAAAAAAAAAAAAUUUUUGUGUCAUAAAGUACUUGUGCUACAAAUAACUUGCCUCCUAUCACUUAUGAAUAAGAAUUGAGGAUAUGCCAAAAAUUUUAGAUUGCUCACCAGCCACUCCUUGUGCCCCUGCCAACCAUCUUGGUUUAGCCUCUUCACAGCUACAACUAUCCCAGUCCCAGGCUUUGAUGCUGCUUGGGAUUGCUCAUCAAUCCACCCCUUGAAAACAGAGCCAAAGCCACCUUCGCCCAAAACACUGUCAGGCCUGAAGUUUCUGGUAGCUGCUUUGAGUUCACCAAAGGCGAAGCUCUUCAAGUUGGAGGACUCCAAGAUCUCACCCUCACUUCGAGGGGUCUGACACAUGGAAAAUGAAGAGGCCUUGCUGCUCAAAUUGCUCGUCUGAGUCCCAUCCUCACUCACAUUUCGUGAGUUUACUUCUACACACAGUCCAACAGCUAAGCGAUACGAAUAGAACUGAGAAAACAAAACAAGCAGCUAGGAUAUAUAUGGUACUUUUUUUUCCCACAGGCCAAGACAACGUGUAGGUCAUACAAAAUGAAACUUCGUGAACUGCAUAGAAGCACGGUAAAAAGGACCCUACUCGUACUGAAGUCCAGCUAGCAGUUACAACCCAAAAAUAAAAAGUACUUUGCAGCUAAGAAUUCGCAUCACCUAGUUUAGACUUUAAAGUCAGUUGAACUAGAUAAACCUCUAAUUGAAAUAAUCCUAGAAAGAUUCACUUCCUAAUCCACACAAGAUAAAAGAAGAAUGAAGACCGUGGAAAAAUACCAGAUUAAACAAUUUAGCUAGCUAAGAUUGAUGGAUUAUACAAUAAUGGCAAAGAGAGACACCUCCUUCCUCAUAUUUCCUUCAAUUUGUAUACGUGAAGAACGGAAGCGAAGAUGAAGGGCAAAUUACCUGUACCAGAGGAAAAUGGAAACUCAGCCUUGACUUGUUGGCUCAAGCAAAUCCCCAUGGAAGCAAAGCUUCAAAAAAGAGACAGCAAUUCUUCGCUCCAGAAACCAAGCAAAGCGCAAGAGCCCACUUCAGGAUGUCAUUCGUAUAUGCAUAAUAGUAUUAGAUUAUAUCACAACCUGCUGCCGCAGUUGAGUUAAAACACAUAAACAAACUUGAAUACCAGCACUAGCACGAUUGUAACCACCCCAGAACUUCUGUGAAUCCAGAUCUAAUGUGAAUUAUGCCUCUCCUCCCUUUCCUCGAGUUAGGUAUUAGCCGCCAACCACACCUCCCCUUUUCUCUCUUACUGUUGAGAAGAAUCCGUGGAAAGAAGAAUGAUUGAUAGUAUACAUGUAGUAUUUUGCAAGCAGCUCACGUUAAUUGAGGACUAAAAAGGGAUGGGUCUCUGACGAGAGAAAAGUUGGAAGUAGAAAGUAGAGAGUUGGAGAGGGGUUUUUAUUUUAAUUGCCAAUGGCUAAGACGGAAAGAAGGAAGAAGGCUACUUUUAGACCCUCGUGGGGAAUGAAGGUUGACUCGCCUUUUAGCUUCUUCUUCCUCUCACUGCGUUGCAAGAUACUUAUUAAACAAGCAAUUGAUGACAACUGAAAAUCAGUCAAAAAACUUGACGACUAGGGCAGCGGACUAGUAGGUGGGCUGUGUGAUUCAUUUCACAAACUUGACGGGUGUUACGAUUAGUUCCGACUAAUAUUCGUUUGUGAUUGGAAUUUUUUGUUUGCUCAUUUUAGAUUCUAGCCGUUUUGUCGGGUUUAAAUGGUCUAAUUCAGCGUGCAUUUUAGAAUGGAAAAUCAGCAGGUUGAUUAGUAAAUCGUUGUUUACUUAGUCUAUCAAUGGCUAGAUGGAGCUAAAAUGAUUACCUCUACUCUUUGUCAUUGAAUCCAAUUAAUGCUCAAAAUUUUAUUUUAUUUUUUACUGCUAAUUUAUCUUCACAGUAGCAAGUCCCAACUUUAAAGUCCGUUUGCACAAACUCGAGAGAAAAUUUUGCACUAUGAUGGUGAAAAUUUUAUGUCUUGAGAGAUUUUUUUUCUUUCUUUUUUUUUUUUUUUUUGUAAAAAUUUGCAAUCCAAACAAGGUCUUAAGUCCUCACUUCGAAAAUAUAUCAACAUUACAAGACAAUGAACCAACUCUCUCUCGAAGAGUUGGUCAUCACAUUAAUUGUGGGGCGGGAGAUUUAAUGGUCUUGUUUGGACAGUAAUUUUUCAAAGAAAAAUUGCUACGUUUUUUCGUAAACACAUUUUUCAAUUACCUUUUUACUUCACACAUGUCAAAUCGCUACAGUAAUUUUUCUACAAAAAAUCUAAAAAAAUGCAAUCCAAACACAACCAAGAACCUUACCUCCUAUCAAUGCGCCUCUACAUGAGAAUUAUUCUAAAUUCAUACAGGUGCGUAGUACACCCCGUCUAGUCUGAUUCUGCAUUUUUUAUUUUUUUUUACGAAAACUCACAAACCAAACCAAGGUGCAAAAGACUUCAUUGGGAUUGUGAGUUUUUUUAAAUAUAUUUCUCUUAUAAAAUAUAAUAUUACAAUGUAAUAUAUAAAGCAAAUAGAUGAUUGAAAAAUUUGUCGAGAGAAUUUCUUAAAAAUUCGCAAUUCAAACAAGGUACUAUGACCUCACUUGGAGACAACCUGCAUUACGUAACUCGCCCGGAGAAAGAGUCAAAUAAUUGAUGACUAGUAUUUUAUUUUUACCAUUACAUGGAGAAAGAGUCAGAUAAUUGCGUCCCCCACCCCAGCCAAAACCAUCCAUACUUCCACUGGGCACACAUGUGGAAACCUUAAUAAAAAAAAAUUUGGAUGUUUUAGAUAAUCUGAUGCUUCUAGUUGUUCCGUCCCUGUCUGUCCCCGCUUUUCUUCUAGAACUGCAGGUUUUUAAAUCGUUUCUGAAGGAAUUAUUGAAAGUGUGGAACAUCUGACAGGGAUUUCCUUUUCUUUCUUGCUUGCUUUCUUUCCUUCUUUAUUUUUUUUUUUUUUGUAAUAAAUAACGUCGACAGGUUGGUCAAACACUAUAUAGAGCAUGGUAUUAUAUUUUACAUACAAGUUAGAACCACUCUCCUUGGAACAUUUGACAGGUUUUCUAAAUUAUGCAUCAUUUAGAUAAUUGAAAAAAGAAGAUUCAUAAUUUGGAUUUUGCAAGGUGGAUUUACAUAGGAAUUAGAAAGUGGGCCGUCAAGAAGGCCAAGAAAAUUCAUUUGAUUUUCUGAACAAAUAACCAGGAGGCGUGUUUGGAUAGAGUGUAUUAUUUGUAAUAUGAUUUAGAAUAUUUACUGUAAUAUUUUUUUUAGAUGUGAUAUAUAUAAGAUAAAAAGAUAGCUGAAAACAUAAAAAAAUGAUUGAAAAAAUGUGUUUUAUAAUGCAAGUGAAAUAUUAUUUAAAAAAAUAUUUGUAUCCAAAUCGUUUGGGGGAAAAAAUGAAGUCGGACAAAUAUACCUAAAACCAUAAUAAAAUGAUUAAUAAUUUAGAAAUUUAGGAUUUGUGUCAAUGAUUUUAGGCCCAAUUGUCAUCAGAGAUUUGAUCUGGUCUGCGGGGUAGUGCAUGGUUUCAUUGUUGCUUUCACUGUUGCAUGAGAUCAUUUCUUUUAAAGCCACUUACCAUCAAUAUCAAUAUCGCUUUGUGAAGUUGAAUUGAAAAGAAAAUAUCAUCUGAAAUCAAAGACAAUUUCCCUAAUGAUCAUAUAAUUCUGCUAAGAACCUGAAUGCGCAUAAUCAGCACUGUUACUAAAAGGAACAAAAAAAGUGUUAUGGUAUAUCUGAUUUCUUAUAUUUUACUUUAGCCAAUAUAUUCCCAGGUUUUAAUUUCAAAUAAUGAGAAUUAGGAUGGGUUACUUACCCAAUAAAUAAAUAAAUAAAAAUUAGGAUGGGUUAAUAUUAUUAUUAUGUGUUUGUAGCCCGUCGCCUUGAAAAUGGAAGCCCAAGACAAGGGUCCUUUGGAAGCGGCAUCCAGCCCAUUCUCACGAACAGCUUUCCUCGCACUAUGGUAUGGGAAUGGGACUAUUACUACUAAAGGACUCUGCUUCAUCGUAAUGCAGGUAUCCAACAUCCAUCCAGCCUUUUUAUAUUUCCCAAAUAAUGGGCCUGUUUGGAACCUGAGUUUUUUGGGAGUUUAUCUAAAAUUUUAGUGUAGUGCACUGUAGAAGUUUUUGAAAAAAUUUUGUAGAAGUUUUUGUAAGGUGAAAAACUUUUUUUCCUUUUCUCUUUCUCUUUCUUUUUCUUUCCUUCCUUUUUCUUUUCUUCUUCUUCUUCCCCGUUACCUCCGCCACCCCUAGCAGCCACCCCCUUUUCUUUCUUUUUCUCUUUCUUUUUCUUUUUCUUUCCUUCCUUUUUCUUUUCUUCUUCUUCUUCUUUCCCGUUACCUCCGCCACCCCCAGCAGCCACCCCUCUGCCCCGCCACCCCCCGCCUCCCCCUUCCACCUCUGCUCGCUUUUCCCCUCUGCCGCGCCACCUCCCUCCCCCCGCCACCAUCUCUGCCCCUUCCCCCUUUGCCCCGCCUCCCCCUUCCCCCUCUGCCCCGCCUUCCCCCUCCCCUUGCCACCACCUCUGCCCCUUCCCUCUCUGCCCCGCCACCCCCCGCCUCACCUGUUCCCCUUCCCACUUCUCACCAUCUUUCUUUUCUCUCCUUUUUUUCACAGAGAGGUGGGAGGGAAAAUGGGGGAAAUGCAGAGAAAGAAAAAAAAAGACAAUAUGGGAGGAUAGCAGGGGAGGAAGAGGGGGAGAGGGAAAAAAAUGGGAAAAAAAAAGAAGACCGGCACCGGCACCGGCACCGGAAAUCAGCGCCGGAGCCGGGGACGGAGGUGGUGGUGGGGGAGGAAGAAGAAGAAAAGGGGAGGGGAAUUUUUUUUUGUUGUGUUUUGGAUAUUUUAAGUGUGUAGAUAAAAAACUUUGGGAAGUUUUUUGGGGUUCCUGUAGCAAAAAUUGUUAAAAAACUAGUAGCUAAAAAACUUGGUAAAAAACUAGGGUGCCAAACAAGCCCAAUAUUUCGCUUACAUUAUAAACACAUUUUCCAACCCACCUUUUUAUAUUUUCAACCACCUUUUUAUCUCACAUACAUCAUAUCAUAAAAAGUGUUACAGUAAUUAUUUCAAAUAAUAUGUCAAAUAAUACUCUAUCCAAACAAAUGUUUCUCUCCUCUACGAGUAUUCGUGACUACUAAGCACCGAUGGACUAUUCAUGCCAGUACGUAGCAUAGUAAAAGGACGCAAUUUGGUUUUGAAUCCGUGGUCAAGAAAAUUUUUUUCCCUUGGCUUGGUCACCGCACUAGAGAAUCAUUGAGCUUUGGUUCAGUGGCUUUAAAAAAAAAAGGACUAAGUUUCUUUUUGGACUGUAAAUCAAGGGUUCGAACCUCGCUUACAGUGAAAAAAAUUCUAAAGAAGUGUCAAACUAUCUCUUUGAUAUAGUCAAGUAUGUAUAUCUGUGAGUCCCUUUCACAACCUCUUUAACCUUCUUUUCUUGCAGAAUAAGAUAGAUUAGGUUAUACAAAUGUUAUUGUUGAAAAAAAAAAAAAUCCAUACUAGAGAUAUCUGUCGUCGUGCUCUCUGUGAAGCCUUCUUUGGAAUCACGCAGUUAAGCCCCUUUUUUUUUUUCCUUUUCUUUUAUUGCUUUUCUGUGCAUCAUUGUUUCAUUUUUUUUUUUGGUUGGGUUAUUUUACUACGAGCUUGGUUAUAGUAAAAUUUCAAAAGGGACUGAAGUGGCCAACUUUGCUGGUGGGUUGGUAAGCGUAGUCCGAUUGGAGUGUAGCAUUGGAUUGUUGGACAGAGUUAUUAAAUUCAACCAGACCCGCCGAUUGAACCGGCUACCCCAAUGAUCCGGACAUCAGAUCGGGUCGAGUCUCUAGUUCAACUGAAUAAGAAAUUGAUCUGAUCAAAUCCGGACAAAUUCGGUUGACCUAGUGGUUCAAUCGGAAACUCGCUCAAAUUUUUAAUUGACUCGAUUUACCUUUUUUUUAAUAUAUAAUUGUGGGUCUUUGUUUUUUAAACAAAAUGUACAUAUGCUUUUGAUAAGUUUUAUACAUUGGAUCUUUAUUUAAAUAUAUAUAAAACUUUACCACUUUCUUAAUUUUUAUUUAAUAAUUUAAUUUUUUUAAUAACUUGUUUAUUUUUUAUUAUACAAUUAGUCCUUUUAACUUUUAAAUUGACAAUAUUUGAUUAGUUAGAAAUUACUUUAUUUUUAAACAAAAAUAAAAUAAUGAAAAAAUAAUGCUAUAUUUUUUAAAACAAGCGAUAUAGAUUUUGUUUUAUACUUGACUAUAUUAUUUAUUUAUAUAAAAGUACAAUAAAAUGAAGUUAAAUCUUCUAUUAAUAUCUACAUAUUUAUUAUAUAUCUUCCUGAGUAUAAUAAUUCAUAUCUAAAAACACUUUAUUAUACAUUUUAUGUAUAUUAAAAUUACUAUUUUAUAUUUAUAAAUAUUAAAUUAAUACUCACAGGUUCUACUGGUUGAACUAGUGAUCCAUUAAUCCAAUCCCUCUGCCGGUUAUUUACUGGGCCGGGUUUAGUAAGUAUGUUGUUGGGAGGAGGUAAGUGUUGUCCAAUUAGAUUGUUGGGAGAGAUUGGUAUUUUGAUUGAUUUCGAUAUUGAUCCCCUUGGCCGCGGAUCCCUAUGCACUAUAGUAUAGGAUCGGAUCAGUUGGUAGUAGACCUAGGGAAGGUCCUACCGGUUGUGUCGAAUACUGGCGUUUUGAGGCCAUUAGUAAUUUGAAUCAAACGGCAUCAUAUGGCGACACACACAUUAAGGACUACGUAGUGCUUUCCAGACUCCAGAGUCGAGGCUCCUGCUGGGAGCGGUUCCUACUUUCUACCGUAGUGUAUAGUUGCCUGCCGCUCCAGACCCCCACCCAAUUCCACUGGCCUUUUCAGAAGUGGGAUCAGAAUUGAGAUCAGGCCCUCGAGCAGGAUCUCCCUCACUUUUGCAAUUUUGAUGACAUGUCUUUGUCAUCUUUCCUUCCCCACUCUAGAGUUGCCCUUCUUCCCCCUCUUCAGGGCUUUUUGGAGUCAAAUCUGUGGUACCAGUAGUAUUUGUCUCGCUAGGACCGCUGCCAAAUUGCUGCAGCCACCGUAGUAUUUAUUGAACUUGUUUACUUUAAGUAUGGUCUUUCCUAUUUAAUGUAAAUUAUCAAACACUUCAUCCAUAUCAAUUUGAUAACCAUUAAUUCACAUAAACAAAGUUGUUUGGCACAAAACCUAUAUUUGGCAACUUAAGAAGAACUUUUGGAGCAACACAAAUUUUUUUUUUCUUGUAUUAAGAGAAGGGUAUUAUAAUUUGACAUGUACAAGCAUUUUGGGCCUAUGUUAAUUCCUAAACCGUUAAAAGAAGGAAGAUUUGUGUAGUUUUUAGAGUUUUGGGGAAGCUCUUUGUAAUUGUCAGGAGCAUUAAGGGAGGUUUUUGAAAUUAUCCCUGAAUCUAUCCUACAGUCCAUUGCAGUAAGAGGAAUGGUAAAAGACUUUGAAUGAGAGAAGGGAAAAAUCAGACGCAACCGCAUCAAUGACAGCUGAGAGGGCAGGGCAGGAGCAGGGUCAGGGUCAGGGCUCGGGGCUGUAAGGUCCAGUCCCCAUCAGAAUCGUCCCUUUGUGCCGUGAAAUCCGGACUGCAGUCACCCCCACUUCCCCUCCCCUGCCCGGUGGUGCCCCAGCUCCCAAAAUCAUCCCUCCAAAGUCUAAACAAAGAAAAUACCUGGGUAUCGAUUCCUUCGCCUCUCAAAGGAUCUUGAGAUUUCCAUUUUCCACUGGAGCCAUUCUUUUAUUUUUUUGUGCAAUCUGUUUGUUCUUGAAAGGUUCAUAACCUGAACACUUGCUUGUGUAGUAGGGGUAGUAUGUUGACAACGAUAGGGAUACUGGCCGUAAGUAACGUAUCAGCUAAUAAUGCCAAUGCGCAUAAAAAUUCUCUCAGGUCCUUCCUGCAACAAAAAUUCUUUAGGCUGUAGAGUUAGAACUAGAACCCCCUCAGAAGUACACGAUGCUCUGACGCAUUAUAUUUGUGGGUUUUGAUUUCCUUUUCUUGUGAAUUCUAUAAAGACCUCUUUGGGGUGUAGAAUUAUACUUAAAGCGUUAUUUUUAAAGAAUUUCUUUUUGGGAAAAAAAUACCCCCAAAGGAAAUGGGAUUUUUUUUUUCUCAAAAAGGAAAUGGGAUUGAGGUGCUUCAAAUUUGCAUCUCGAGUUUGGGGUGGAUGCUGUUGCGGUUUGCUUUAGGAAUCUGAAGGACCCCUCUAGCCUUUAGUCUAGUAAAAUGCAGCCAGUUUUGCAGAAAAUGGUUAAAAGGGUCAUUGAAGCUAGGAAAUAACUUUCCAGUAGUAGUGGUAAUACGCUAAAACAGGAUAAGAAAUCGGCAGUGAAAGAAAGAAAAUUGAGAUGGUAAAAAAGGGACCACCUCCCAAAUUACCCAAUCGGGGGCAUCAAAAAUUGCAGUAAACAUGACUGUGGAAUAAUCUACAGUGCAUAUUGAUUGCUUUAUAAUACUACUACAAUAUUUUGUGCUAUACAGCUCCUAGUUGUAGAAAGAAAGGAUGUAGUAGAAAUUUUGGCUAUGUUUUGCAUAAUAGCUAAGAAAGAAUAAAAAAAAAAAGUUGAUUCAGUUUAGAAGAGCGAACCGUAUGUUCGAAUUUUGUUGUCGACGUGAGAGUUGUGUUAAUAGACGAUUUGUAAGAAUUUUUAUAAAGGAUUUUAAGGCCUUGUUUGGAUUGCCGGUUUUCGUCGAAAAAUUAUAUCGUUUUCCGUGAUCACAUUUCCUUAUUACCUUUUUCUCUCACAUACAUUAAAUCGCUACAGUAAUUUUUUCAUAAAAAAUCACGAAAAAUGUAAUCCAAAUACAUUAUGCUUUCGAAAUACGUUCUGGUUCGUACCGACGACGAUGACUGAAGCCGAAUUCAUCCAAUUUUAUUUUUUAUUUUUAUAAAAAUUAAAAAGAGCUAAGAAAGAAAGCACGUAGUAGAAAUUUUGGCCAUGUGAGAGUUGUAUAAAAUCGCUGAUGCUAGUAGUACUUCUACAUCUGGAGGCUCAGAAGCCUGCUCCAACAUUUACGUCAUCACAUUCUUUUGGCGCGUCACUCAGCCAUCCGGGAAACAUAAAAGAGAAACCGCUCGUCUCCGGUCUCUGCUGCUACUAGCCCACUCUCUUUCUCUCUGGGUCUCCACCCCUCAUUUCUCUUCUUCGCACGCCCACUUCACUUCACUUCACUCCAAAGUCCAAGUCCAGCCUUCAGAGAAUUACUACUCCAUCCAUCGUUUCUUCAUCAGAGAGAGAUACCUCUUUUCUUGCCGAGUGAAAGCAUGCAGUGCUGGGAUUUCUUCUGUAUCCUACCCUGUAAGUUCAUUUUCUCUCUUGUUUCCUCAUUUUCUUCUUCUUUUUUUUUUUCGAAAAAAAAAAAGAAGACACUUGGGUCUUGUUUGUGGAGAUAUAUGUUUUGUUUUCUGAUAUCAAGAUUGAUAACGUGUGCGGGUUUUCUAUGGCUACAUUAUGCUUACUGGCUAGAGAGAUGCAACGGAGUAGUGUUUGCUGUGAGGGCCAUCUGUUCGGAAACUCCUUUUCUUCAGUUCCAGUUAUUCUUCAUGGUCCCGGCCCAAAAAAAAAAAAAGAAAGAAAGAAAGGAAUUAAAUCAUAUGGUAGUAUAUGUUUUUAGGACCAGCUUUGAAUUUGCCUUGACGAGUUGUCUUUUUUUUUUUUUGGGGUGGCUAGGACAUAUUAGUAGUAGUUCUGGUACAUCUGUUGAGUCGGAGAAAUUCCUACUAUCACGUUAGAUAAAGAUUUGAUUUCCUUAUUCCCACUGUACGGAGAACAAAGUAGCCCUUCUCUUUUGUGGCAAAACUUUUAAUUAUGCGCAUCAUGUUAUGCUAACUCUAAGCAAGUCGUCUACCCUGCGAUAUAUAUAUGUUGCUGGAGAUUUUCGUAUUGUUCAUUCCUGACACUAGCAAAAUAUAUACAUAUGCAUAUAUAUAUAUUUGUUCAUGUGGGCAGCACAUUUUCUGUUCCCGGCUACUUUAAAUUUUCUGGGAUGCUUCAGAUCGACUGCUUUAAAUUUCAUCCGUGCCUCUAAUGUAGUAGGUGAUUUAGUUAUUGCAGAUCAGAUAUCGAUUAGCCUUGCUCAAUAAGUAAAUUAAAACCGUGAUGGUUAGUCUCCAAUCUACAGUUUUCAGCAUGUUAUCGUGUAGCAACAAUCUGUUUGCUUUUGGGAAUUCACGAUGCAACUUGAAACAAAAUUCAGAUCUAGGGAGAGUUAGGAAUUCAUAUAACUAAUUGUUCAGAUCUGAGGUCUGUGGACUAUAAAACUCCAAACAUUUGUUUUCUCCGUGACAAUCAGUCGAGCAUGCUACUUUCAAUAUGGUUGAAUCGCAACAAUUCUGUUUAUGUUUGCACCGGCACUACAAUUCUGCUCAUGCUUCAUUAGCUGUGUUUGACUGAGGGUAAAAUAAUGCCAAUAUUUAUUCCCUCUGCAUUGACCAGACACAUGAUUAAGAGUUUGUGGCCAGGGGCAGUGGUGUUUACACCUGGAAAUUAAAGAGGGGCAAACUGAAGAAGCUGCUUUGUUGCUUGCUUCUACGAGACAGUAUGGCCCAAGAAAGUGGCGCCUGAUAUCUCAAUGCAAAGCAUUGUUAUCCGUCUUCAGGCCAAUUAGCACGUAAAGUAAUUGGAAGAAGAAAUUUGCAGCUGAAGUCUUUGGCUGAACUGCGUGGGAAGUUUUUAUAAUAGAAGCAGCAAAGAGGACACUCAGAUAUUAGCCGGCUGAGGAGGGAAAAAUACAAUAAUCAUUUUUUGGAGACUUUUACUGAGAAACAGCUUAAAAAGCAUAGUGUCGAAGAAUUUCUCAUGGCUACCUCGAGCGGCCAGUUUGUCUGUACUGAUCCACUUGCUCCUCCUCCCCCAGUAUUACUUCCUCCAUGGCUUUCAAAUUCUACGUCCGGUGUGCCUGUUAGGCCAUCGUCACCUUCUGUGACCUUAAGCCUUUCACCUUCAGUGGUUCCACCACCACCACCAGGAGCAGCAUGGUUGCAGCCUGAUAGAGCAGCAACAGACGAUAAAAAUCCUGUCUCGAACAGUUUGCCAUGUCUUGGGAUGGUGCCUCCUCCCCCCUCCAGAGAGAAGGCCGCGGUGGUAUCUGAACUCUUGGAAUGCUGCAAAGAAUUGGAAGAAAUGCAGCGUGCUUGGGCAGUGCACAAGAAGGAAGCAGCCUGGAGGUUGAGGAGGGUAGAGUUACAGGCGGAAUCGGAGAAGGCCUGUAAGAGGAGGGAGAAAAUGGAGGCAAUAGAGGCAAAGGUGAAAGCACUGAAGGAAGAGCAGAAGGCUACUCUGGAUAGGAUUGAAGCCGAAUACAGGGAGCAGCUAGCUGGAUUAAGGAGGGAUGCAGAGGCCAAGGAGCAGAAGUUGGCUGAGCAGUGGGCGGCUAAGCACUCACGUCUAACUAUGUUCCUUGAACAGAUGGGGUGUCAAUCAAAAUUUGUCGAGCCCAACUGCUGAUAAAAAGGUUGCUUUGCCUCUGCUUCGGUAGAGCUACCUUAAACCUUGCUUUGCAGUUUGCCCUCUGCUUCUGUAGACCUACCUUAACCUUGCUUUGCAGUUUGCCCUCUGCCUGCAAGACCCGUACGUUUCUGUCAUAUUGUUCUUUGCAUAUUGCCAACUUGGUUGACAAUAUUCGUUGGGUUAGUGAUUUUGCACCUCUAUUCAGCUAUUGUAACCGUUGGGUCAUUUCUUGAUCUUGGUUUUCUGCAUUGGUCUUCUGUAUCUACUUUGUUUAUUUGAAGAACCAAAAGGUUGGCUGAUCCUUCACCUUUUGUCUUUACAUUACAUGUUGCGCAUAUCAUGGCCUACGUCCUACUCUUUCCACACAAUUCCCAAACCCCAAAAACCAAAAACAGCUGCUUCAUUCAUACCAAAUAGUGAUAUGCACACGUACAACUGUGCAUCUACUACUAGAAGCUAUAACAUGCACAGGAUGAUGAGGGCGGUCUGUUUAAAUUUAAUGAAAGGAACAGCAACCAAAAAUAGACUAAAAUUUAAAAAAAUUAGCAACAAUUACUACGCGGAUCCAGUAACUAUCUAACCUCCGCCAGACUAAGAAAAGCUUUUAACAUGGUAAGUACGGGAUAAGAUUCCCAACAAUUCUUCUGUCUUCUUCAGUUUCGGAGUUUUAUGCAUCCUGAAAAAGAAAAAGCGAAGGAAGAAGACCAUUGGUCUUGGUCGGGCAAUUAAAUGAUUAAUUGCAAAAUAAAUCUACAUCUAUUUUCUAUACAUAGAUUUCUCCAAUAAGUACCAAAUGGUUCGAAAUAGAAAGCAUUGAAUUGAAGGAUUUGCAGGCAUACGUAUUUAUAUAUCCCGUUAUCAUUAUUAAAAAAAGCGAUGUGUGUGAUUGUUCCUCUUAACCUAGCAAGGCAUUGAAGAAUUGAAUAAAGGUUCCCAAAUGUAAAAUGCUUGAAUUGGUAGAAAAGCCCCCGCAGGUCCUGGUUUAUGAACUCGCAAGUCAUCAUGGGGGCCGGGGGGACAUGAUCUCUUCACACAAAUUUGCUAAACCAAACAAAUAAAGAAAAGAAAAGAAAUUAAUGUUGUCUACAGCCUCAUCAGUUUUUUGAGUUUUACUUGAGAAGAUUGCAAGUACUUCCUAUGUUAUUUCCCUGCAUUACAAUGUCAGCAAUUCCUUUCAGUUCCGAAUUGGGUAAGUUGGACGACUCCCGCGUCCGCCUUAUUGGCCUCAUCCACACAAAAUACUCUUAAUUGUCCUUGAAUAAGAAAGAUUUUUAGGAAGGUGAAAACAAAACUUAGAUUGUCAUCAUCCUCCAUAGGUUCCGCUGAAGUACUUGACAGUAUAAAACACUACACAAUUUUGUCAUGAAAAGAAAAUGGAUAUGUGUGUGUAUCACUCGCUACUGCUAUUGCCGUUUGCCUCUAUUUAUUUGUCUCAAAAAAGACCUGGAGGAUCAGGCUCAAACAGAAAGUGAGAAUAAUCCACAAGGUCUUCUUCAUCUUGUUGAUUAUUCACGUUGCCGUCACCGCCCAAACCUUGGCUAAAAAUUUCGACCACCUCCAUUUCUUUAUCCGUCCACCGAUUCAUCGCUGCUUCCUUAUUAUCUGCAUUUGCAUUCCCAAUCCCACCUUGCUGUAAUGGCGGCUCCGGGAUAAUGUUCCCUGCACCUUCCUGAGUUUUUGAUGAUGGCUCCGCAUUUUGGCGGGCAUGUUGAGAAGGCUCGCCGCCGUUCAUCACCUCACCAUCAAUCUCUCCAGGACUAGUUCCAUUUUGAUAGCGAAUGGGGCCUGCUGUCGUUUGGGGAUGAAUCCUAAUUUUGGUUUCUUCCUUCUGGAAACCCUUGAGAAGGUUUUCGUGGGCAUCAAGAAGGAAAGCCUCAACGCUAAGCUUCUUGUCCUCUUCUAUGAUCGCCGCCUCGUGGGUUGAUGGGGGCAAGUUCAUGAGGUUUGCAUAUGCGUCAUCGAAAAAUUCUUUCACUCCUGAUUGAUCUUUAGUCUUCAUCCCUGUACGCCAAGAAACUGGGAAGAUUCUUCUUUUCUUGGAUUCGGAACCAACAAUACUAGUAUUGUAUUUCGGUUUCUUGUGGUUUCGGUGUAGUGAUGCUUCAGAUAAUUUAAGCAGUUGAGGACCCUGCAAUACCAAAUCCCAUACAUUUUACAAAGUGAUUGAAACUCCUCGAGGCAAGGCAAGACUAUGUAAAUCUAAACCUAGUUUAUAUACAAGUAAAGCUGUGAUAUAUACAAGUAGCAACCCGAUCAACUCACCUGAAGCUCCUGAGCAUUGGUCUCCUUCUCGAUAGAUGUUAUAGUGUUGUUGCUUCUGAUGAAGUUGAUGACCUCAACUAAAGAUCGAAACAUUCUUUUGCACGUUGGAUGGAAAUAAAACUGCAACAGAAAUAUGUUUCGUCAUUUCUGUAUAUCCAUAAAUAUAUAUAUAUAUAUAUUUAAAAAAAAAGCUUUCUAUUUCUUCCUUCCUUUUUUUUCUUAAAAAAGGAAAGAAGAAAAUCAGAAAGAGGGAGAGAUCGACAUGGAAAGCCUAGCAAAUAAUCGAAUUGGCAGCGCUAGCUGGUACCUUAUCUUGUGCACCACUGGGACGUUGUCUUGUCUCCCUUUUCCAAUUUCUGAGAAGAGCAGGGAAUGGUAAGAUGCGGUCAUAAAAAGCCAUGCCUGGCAUUGUUUCUUCCAUCUCAGGAGCAGAUCCAACCUACAUAUAUAUAUAUAUAUAUAUAUCGCAGCCGCAUACUCUAUAUGAGUUGAGUUUGAAUCAUGCAUUUUCAAUAUUUCUCUUUUGACUUUUCAGACGGCUAGAAGCAAAAGGGACUAAUUAAACUGCAUGACAUUAAUCACCUCGUACAUCCCGAAAUCAUAACCAACUGGAUCUUCACGACUUUUAAAACAGUUGAAGGAAACAUAUGAAACUGAAACAACCUUUGUCUUGGUUAGACAUCCUCCCCUUCUUGUCUUCUGUUCUUGAACAAUUACAGGCUGCAGCUGUUCAUAUUUCUCAAUUGAUGUUAGAGACGCAGCAUUCAUGCACGGAUUUUUUUUUAAAACUCAUAAACCUCUUAAUACGAACUGUUAAAAGACGCAAAGAGUGAAUAGAUGUCAUGCAACAGCGCUAGAUACAGACCACGUACGUAGAUUGUAAACCACUACAAAUACUAAGGCUUUUGAGAACAUAAUUAAAACCCUUCUCUAUACAACUACAUAUAGUAUAUAACCUGAGGCUGAGGUCUCGCGGCAUUUUCAGGCAAAUUAACAGAUUGAGGAUUUGGCGCUAGCACAAUUGCCUUCUCCAAACCACCACAGGCCUGCGUCCCUUCUUGCACCGGUGAAUCGAAGUUCUGCAGUUGUGAAACAGUAGAAUCCAGUUAAAGAACUAUCAGCGUGACACAAAUUUUCAUGUCAAAAUCGAAUCGUAAAUGCUUGAGAAUUUAUCAAGCUAGACGAAACAAAACAGUAAAAGCAUGGUUUUUUUUUAAAAAAAAAAUUUUCGACUUAUAAACCUUUUAAUACAUAUAUCUGCACUACAAACUGUUAAAAUAUGCAAAGAGUGCAUAGAUGUCACGCGACUGGUGCUAGAUACACACCACCGAGAUUGAAAACCACUACAAAUACUAAGACUUUUGAGAACGUAAUUAAAGUCCAUCUCUAUACAACUACAUGUAGUAUAUAACCUGAGGCUGAGGUCUCGCGACAUUUUCAGGCAAAUAAACAGAUAGAGGAUUUGGCGCUAGCACAAUUCCCUUUUCCAAACCACCACCGGACUGCGUCUCUUCUUGCACUGGUGAAUCGAAGUUCUGCAGUUGUGAAACAGUAGAAUCCAGUUAAAGAACUGCUAGCAUGACACAAAAUUUUCAUCAUAAAUGCUUGAGAAUUUAUCAAGCUAGACGAAACAAAACUGAAAAUGCAUGGUUUUGUUCAAGAGAAGGAAGAGGAAACAAUUACUUUAGCACCACAAAGGCCGAGGUAUGGAGUAAUCUCCCAACCAGCUGUUGCUGUGAUUUCGGAGGAGUUGUUAUCAGAGCUUGAUGCCAUAUCUUAACUGAGGCUGAGGGCGAACUAAUGAUGCUCCCGAGAGAUGAUUAGAGAUUUUGUUGGCCAAAUGGAGAUGUAAAGAAGAUGAUUAGGACUGUUUUUUUACUGAGCACUGAUUCGUGCAUAUCAAAGCUGGUUUAUGGGGCUAGGUUUAUAUAGUGCUAAUGGGAAAGAGUGCAGCCCCCGGAGGUUAAGAUGUGCAUGCACUGACACAUACACAAUAAGCAUUUUUUGGUAUGUGAAUUUUAGGUCUUUCCUAUUCUGUCCUGUCAUAAAAAUCAUCCUGCAAAUGUCUGGAUGAGCCAUUAAAGCUCUACUUUUAAAGAGAUUCUCGCUAUUAUUACAUCAAAAUAUCAUGUUGGAGUCGUAGAUUUUAGAGCUCUCUUACCAUAUUAUAGGCCCUGGAGAAAAUCUCUCACCGAAAUUGCUUUAAUUGUUGGUUUUAUUCAUGCUGUCCCCUCAAGGCUCAAGAAUUGAGAAUUUUUACUCAAUUGUUGUGUAAAAUGGUCUAUUAUAGGCCAUGGCCAUAUUAUAGUUUACCCAAGAACAAAAAAAUCCUCCCUCUUUAAAUUGAGAAUAAGAAGAAAACUCUUUAUCUGUUGCCAUGAUAUACGUUGUAAAUAUUGGUUGUGUUCGUAUUCUCUACGCUCAAUUUCUCAAACUUAAAAAGCGCACGCAAGCACUCCGAACGAAUUGUUUGGCCUUGAUCAAAUGCAACACCUGAAGUUGGUGCCUCUUCCAAAAAAUCGUUUCCGAACAAUAACAAUAAUGCUUCUGCCCAUACAGAAGAGUCAUAGACUACCAUACAGCUUAACUUGAGAGCGCGAGCGUUUUUUUUGCCCCCCCAUUUGCCUUUGCUAGUUUUGGUUGUCUCAAAAUGUGUCUACAAAAUUUAUAGGCCUAAUUUGGAUGAAUAAAGUGGAUGUUGGCAUAAUUCGUAUCACAAAUUUGAUCAGGAAACGAAGGCGACAGCAUGAAGUUUGACAGGAGGGCAUCUUAUUUUAUCUCAAAAAUUAGUGGCGGCUAAGAUAUAGACGCCAGAACCAGCAUCGCUCCUAACCACCUCCAAAAACAUAUAAAAUAAAAUGGAAAGAAGCAAAACUAAAUCAAUGGAGAUAUCAGAGAGUGCAUACACAUUGGACGGCAAGAAAGUACAAUAAAAAUGAGAUCAAACGACCAGUCUAGCUAAUUAGUAAAUAUUAACCACUGCAGCCUUGAGCGAAAUUUAUCGGCGGACAAAAUCCGAAAUGGAAUAUUAGCAGACUCUAACAUAGAAGUUUUUGCAUACGUUCUGGAACAAUGAAAUUAUGAAUUUCAAAUUAACCAAUUUGUACAUCUCAACGGUACAAGCUUUCAGUGAGAGGCAUUAACUCUUCUACAAUUGAGUCUUGCAAAAGUUAGUCAUCAAAGGGCAGGUACGCUACAAAGAACCUCAAUCCAUGAAAACCGCUCCAGAGACCGAACUUGCACGAGUAGCAGUCGAGAAUUUAAUGCAGCUCGUGCCAAUAUUUUCCUCCAACUUUUCCCAUGGAAUGUUCUGCUAUCGAAAGCCAGAACCAGGUUUAUCAAACCACAGAACAUUACAAGCACAACCAAUCUGCAUGCAGCUAUCAUUCCUGGCCAAGCUAACAAAAGAGAGGAGACUGAUGGAAGCUUAAACAUCCAACUCACAAGAUCUCCUUUUCAGUCCUCUUACUGCACUAAACACGUACACCAUCCGGUUCCUUCUGCUCCUCUCGGCCGUGAAAUGAAAAAUAGCUCUCCUCGCAGAGUUAUGCACCUUUAGUACCAUCAAUGUUCUCAGUAAUAAAACCUCUGCAGACAUCUAUAUACUUGCCAUGCAACCACAAUUUUAGCCCAAGCUAAUGAAAACUUGCACAAUCCAAGUAUCUCUCUCUCUCUUUGAGAUCAGCCGGCCAAUAAAUAUCAGUAGCCACAAGAGCAGCCCAAAGGCUGGUUAAACUAUUAAGUACAGAAAAAGCACAAUAAACAUAGAAAAGAUAAUUUAUACACGAGGGUCUAUCUGUACAAUUGGGUAUAGAAUCCAAGAAUAUAGCUGACUGCUAUUACCACCAUUAAGUGACAGUAUCAACUCGCAGCAACUGGUCCAAGUUACCUGUUAAGAGACCAGUAUGUGAGAGAGAUGCAAUGUCUUGGCCAUGAAAAAGCUUUAGAUAAGCUGUCAUGAGAAAUAACAUGCGUAAUUAAAACUUCUGAGGCAGACCAGUGUGAUUGUAUUCUUCCUAGAUUGCCUUCUUUCCAUGAGUGCAAAUAAACGAUGAAAUAAAUCAACCAAGAUAUACACGCAUUUAAGCCAUAUCUCCAUUUAGGACAAGAUACCACAUAGAGAAAAUCCAUUUGUAAAACAUUUAAACUUUCUGACAUAAAUCCAGCAUUAUUCUCCACCUCCUUCCUCCUCCUCUUUUUUUUUCUUUUUUAAACAAAUUACAGGAAAAAAAGCAUUCUUUGUUCCAAUAAAUUCACUAUUUCACACGAAAGCAAAUUCAUUAUUUUACAGAAAAGCAAAACACACUAGAUGAACUCUUCUAAAUAGUUUGUGGCGGACUUGUAUAGUUUAGAGUUGCUCAAGAACAUGCACAACUCCAACAGGACCAUUAUUUUGGUUCUACCUGCUCUCAGUUAAAUUACGUGUCACAACAACAGAAAGAAAUCAGACAAUUUUCAAAUAUAAUAAUCAGACUCAUCGUUUCUCCAACAUGUAGAUCUAUACACGGGCACACAAACACAUGCACACCAAAAAAAAAAUAAAAGAAAAUGAGAGAAACAGCAACACCCCACCCAAAAAACAUAAAUACUCCAUGCUGCUAGAAGUGAUAUGAAAGGCUACUUCUAUCCCCAAACGAAAAGUUGUAAUGCUUCUAAAUUGUCAGUGAAACACAACUAACCUCUGCAAUUUCAUUGAUCAAACCAUACCACCAGAAAUCAGUAGUUCGUCUGCAUUUUAUCCUAACUUUGAAAUUUGGGAACUCAAAUAACUUAGGCAUCUGGCAGCAAGAUUAAGAACUUAAUCUUCCUGUAAAUUGAAAUUAGAAGCUGAUUAAACAAUUAAUUAUGAUUGACCUGUAUCUAAAAGAGUAUUAUAAAGAAGCAGAGCAUCAAGGCAACGAUUUAAGUUCCAUGUCAGACCUUACUUGUUAUUAUUAAGAACUUCAAUCUAAAGCAUGAAAAAAGAACCAAUAGUUGUUUGACGAAGCACCUUUGAACUACGAUCAAGGCCAUGAGAAGCAACCUAGACCACAAGAAAAACAUAAAAUCAGCGUAUCAAAACAAACAUUAGGUAAUUCUCUUUUCCUUUUCCCUUCUUAUUCUCAAGAAUUUCAACCAAGACAAGCAUUAGACUGUAAGUGAGCAUGAUCUAAAUAAGAAAGAUAUAUGAACUUCAACCAAGACAAGCAUUAGACCGUAAGUGAGCAUGAUCUAAAUAUGCAAACUUCCACCAUCGUAUUUGAUGUCUGUAUACUGCAGGCAUGUCAUAUAAAAUGUUAAAAAAUCUACGAGGCAAGGACAAUAGCUAAGUCCAUGAGAGUCAAGAUACUGUUAAGCGGAUGCCUGCAUCCUAUAGAUGAAAGGAGGGAGACAUCAAAUCAAGCGAAUAAACCAGCAAAUUAUUGUGAGUAGGAAUAUAUGUUAAACUGCACAUAGUUGCUUCCUUUCCCACUCCUCUCUUAUCCUACUUAAAGACCAAAUAGCAUUAGAUGAAAAAUUCACUUCCCUCUCCUUUCUUAUCCCAUCACAUUACAAACAGGACACAAAGCUCAUAUAAAAGGCAUAUCCAUGUGGUUCCCCCCUUUUAUGCUCAAUCUUAUAGCAUGUUACCUCAAAGCUGAAAAGUUGAAGUCUAAGGUCCCAAAGGAGAUGGUUCAUGGACUGCCUAAUGAGCGCUUAAGUUCAAAAUUGGGGCACAACUAAACAAAAAUCAUGAUCAAAAGCAUAAUGUAAAACUUAUUUUACCAUAUGGGUCAGAGCUGCAUAUCGUUCCUCACUCAAAUACAAUGGCUUGCCGCGAUGCAUCUCUUUAUCCUGCAACAUAUGAAGGGGAAAAACAUAUGACAGAUGGAUAUUGGUGUUCUAAGGAAAAUUAAAGCACAAAGAGUCUCCAUUUCCCCCAGCAAGACAUAUCUCCCAAAAUGACAUUAUUGAGAAGUGAAAUGCAUUUAUAUCCUAACAGCAAAAAGAGACGUAGCAUCUAUCUAGAAAUGAAAGAUUAAUCUCAUCCUUGUGCCAGGUAUCAAGAAUUUACUCAGUCUUGGAUGCUAAUGAACUUGGAAAUUCCUCGAGGACAACUGUAAUACUCUUUCAACACAGAUAUAUAAUCACACAGUUUAACAUCCACUUAUUGAUUGAUUCAUCCUGAUAUGGCUAAGAAACAAAUUUUCAAAUACUUCAUAGAAAAGACUACUCAGUUUGGGCUUAAUAGAGGCAGCAGAAUGACACACACAAUACAACCCCUCCACAUUUUCUUGGGUUAUCCAAAAAAAAGGAACUGCAAAUUUUAAGGGACGUACAAAGAAAAGUUGGAGCAGGUUACUAACCACAUAAUUUUAUGAUUAUAUGGGACAAACCACUAAUUUCAUGAAUAACAAUUACUCUAAGAAUAGAUUAUACCUCUUGGGCAGUUUUGCAAUACCUCAACAUUUGCUUUUAUGCAUGUAUGAGCACUAACGCACACAUGCAUGCAUGUUUGUAAGGGAAUAGAUUCAUACACACAUAUGAUACAUAGAACUUAGCAUUAUUUAUCAACAUACUUAGUAACUGGCCUCUGCACCACUUGCAAAUCCUUAGCCAAUACUAUCACCAUAAAUAGAACCAAUUAGUACCAUAGGGCACUUGUUUAAAUUAAAAUCCAUUGUUACAAGCAAAAUUUUCCAAGAUUCAUUCCCUUACAUUAGAUAAUCUCCAUUGGACAUGUUUAAAAGUUCAAGUACAUCAAAUUCACAAACUUUCUUGGGUCAAAUUAAAAAAGCUAAUGUUGAAUAAGAAAUCAACCAUCAAACUGCAACAAGUCAAGUAGAAGGUACCAAUCUACAAAAGCAAUAAGUGAUAGUUCAAGUCUGCACAGAAAACGCUUCAUGUUACGUGGCAACAUACAAAAUAAAGCAUGCUGCUAAAUUAGUGACCAACUUCUGUUUUAUAUGGCAUAGAAGAUUCUAUAGACUAUCUUAUAACAGUGUUCACUUGAAGAUCUUACAAUUCUUAUGCAACGAGUCUUCAAGAUUAUAGUUUACCUCUUCGCCAAAAGCAUCUAAGUAGGGGGAUGGCCAAGGAGCCUGACGAGCAGAUCUUUGAAGUAGAAUUGAGGUUUUCUAGGUCAACAACAUAAGCUUGUCAGUCAUAAUCAGAUACUGCAAGAACAAAUCCUAAUAGUCUUCAUGACCCAUGGAAAGUAUGCAACAUACUCUAAUCAACAGGAAUACUCCAGUGCCAGCACCACAGCCCAUUGCAUGAGUUUGGCAUCCACUUUCCCUACAUAAGACAAGAUAGAAAAGGCAGCAUUAACAUGCAAGUUACUCAGCAUCAGAAAAAUGAAACAGCAAUCCACGCAAGCUGGUGUCAGACCUGCAGCAUGGUUUCCAGUUUGGUGAGCACAAUUUACCACACAGUAAGCAAAGUGCAGGCUCUUCUAAAGCAGCUCCGCAAUCAGGGCAAUGCUGCUUAAUAUACCUGAUGUAUCAAAAAUAGAAGUGACUACCAGAUUCUUAAGGAGCAUAACCAAACACUUUCCACAUGCAUGUUCAAUAUAAAGUAACCUUUCCAACAGAUCCUGGUAUAAAUAAGGCAACACCAUCAGGCUAAAUGGGACAGCUGGUGUAGAGUAUAGUACACACUGUCCUUUAAUUUUGAACUCCUUUGAGAAAUGAUGCAGCCAUCUCAAAGCCAUGGAUCGUGAUAUUUCAUCAUUAAUGACAACAUCAAUUGGAGGAAUCUUAAACAUCUUCUCCAGCUUUUCUACCCCAACAAACUCAAUUAUGUUGUUUUGAUGAUCCAACAGAUCACCAGCCACAUAUGAUGAUCCAUAAGGGGCAUCAUUACCAUGACUAAAUGGCAGUGACGCUGAAGAAUUUAUUAGCCUCCACAGAAGUGCACAUCUCCGGAAAUAAGGAAAGCUCAGGCUGCGAAUGGCAUCCUUGAUAUCAUAAGAAGCAUCAAUAUAGUUGGAAUCAAAAUAUUGCAGAGCAAUCUCAUGUUCACCCAUGAAUUUACAGAUGUCAGUAAUCAGGCAAUCCUUGUAUCCUAACUCAGUGAUACUGAAGUGUUGCUUUCUGCAGCACACAAUUAUUGCCUGGCAAAAGAUAAACUAUUAACAACUUUGAUGAGUAAUGUGAAAAUAAAAUACUAGCCGUUCAAACAUAAGAAGCUAUUUACUACCUGAGCAAUGGUCACAACAUAAAAGAGAUGCACAAGACACACAAAAGAUUUCUCGCAUGACAAGAAUGGGCUUGGAAGACAGAACAGUGUCCACAUUAACGAGGAAAAAGCAUCUCGUGCAAGGACAGGAUCAGAAGCCCUCUUCCAUAAUUGGGUAUCUGGAUAUUGUGCAUCUGUUUCUGAAUUUUCUAAUAUGUACCGCAUAUUACCUGCACAGUCAACACCAAUACCAUAAUUAUGAGAUUAAUUUUCAAGUAUGUACUGCAUAGUACCAGCACAGCCAACACCAAUACCACGAUCACUCCCAUAACUACUAAAACAGACAAGAAUAAGAAAGAUGUUUGCCAAAAUGUUUCAAAGUAAAACAUCCUACAAUCAUACCAAUCUUUUGACACUCAACUAAAAAAAUAGCAAUAACUCGAAGGGACUAUUAUUACAAGUCAAAAACCUUAUACUUCCCAGAUUCAUGGGGCACUAAAGACAUCCAUUCCACACAGAUAAAGAAGAUUUUGUAUCAAUUUCAUUUCACUGGAUAAGUGUUGAUAGAAAUCUCUUAGAUGGAAUUCUAAUAUAAAAUCUAUAAGCCAAAGAACAUUAUAGAUGCACAUUCUAAUAUAAAAUAAAUGAAAAUUAUCAUCCAUUAAGCAAACAUGAAAAGGAAAUGGAUACAGAAAGUAAAAAGGGGAGGUUUUUCUUCCAACUUCAAGACAGCCAAACUAUAGAUGGAAUCUACCAUAAUUCUAAACGUCCAACUCUUGCCAGGAAUAGUUUUUGACGAUGGUGUAGAACCCAGGAUAGAGAUGAGAAGCCUUCUCGAGGGAACACCGAGAAGGAAGAUAGAUGCCAGAUUGGAGUCAGGAAGCAUUCCACAAAUACCACUCUAAUCAGAAAUAACUCCCAUAAAAUAACAAGUUUGCUAAGUUGCUUCUAGUCUCAAUUGACAAAAAUUGUGCAUAUGGACAGGUUCAAGUUGAUAUAACUGUGCGACAACCACCAUAGAAGCACCAAACCUUACUCAGGGAAGACCACAAAGAAACAUAAAGGACCACAAACUUCACAUGACAUUAUUAAACAACUAUUCUGAUGCUAAUUCUAAAAAGAUAUUUGAAUUUCAUUUUUUUUACUGCAAAAACCAUCAGAGAUACUAUAUUACGUUAAAAUUCAUCUGUUAAAUACUUCAAGUACAUAAAUGAAAAUCAGCUACCAUAUAUAAGAACAAAAAUCACCAGCUGAAAUAACAGUAAGUCAGAGACACAUCUGAAAAGGAGUUUACCUUCUCCAUGGCAAUUAUGUGCAGGAAAUUUGUCUAGGGAUAAUCCAGAUGAUAUAGACUUUGCAAAGAGCUGGAUGCCUCUCAAUCUUAGCAAGAUGCUAGGUGAAUUCUUUACUCGAGAUCCUAGAGCAAUAUUUAGCAACAAGGAUAAAAUAAAUCCAUUGGAGGAUUUGAGUUCACCGAAUAACACAUUAAGGCCAUAGGUUGGACUUAAGGAAGUUUUUCCCGACCGAGCAGCAAUCUCUGUUGAGACAAUAGAGUAUUUCAGUGUAUCCCACAAAACCAAUGACUGGCUGAUCCUGCCAGAGUCUGAAAUCUUGUCCUUGCCAGGGAAAUACAGUUUACAUAGGACACGAAACACAGAUUCAAGAUUGGACCUUUGCCUUCCAAAUUGCUGCAAAGGAAUAGAUUUGAGAAUCUCACUGUUUCCAGAAACAUCAGCUGCACUUUGCAAAAGAGACCAUGCUUCUUGAACUUGAAGCACAUCCACUUCUCUGCAUGAUGAGGCUGGAAGACCCACAGCAUAUGAUGCAUUGGCCGUUGAGAAAACAGGCGACACAGGAACCUUUUUGGAACCUUUAGCUAAGGCUGGCAGGACAGAAUUUGCAAGUCCACGACAUACGGGACAAAGGAACUCCCCCUAGUGACACAGAGCACCAACACUGUAACUACACAAUCAUUCUCUUUGAAAUAAGAACAGACAGGAAGACAGAGAAUACCUGAUCGGGGUCUACAAUGUGCCCUCCUUCAAAAACAAUUCUUCUGGUAUAUCUGUCCAAACAAAAUGUAGAUUGAUUAUUUUGGGCCCUAGUGGAACCCCACAAAUUACCUUGUCCACAAUCUCAGUCAGAUUCUGAUUUGCAGUAUCCACAUUAAAAUAUGCUAAAAAUUCAAUUGGGUAAACCUAUGUUGCCAACGCUUAAUGUAGUUUACUCCAUCCUGAGCUCAUGUCCCUCUUCAAAUUUACUACUCCUCUGUCCCUAAAUUAGAGACGCUUUUUGAAGUUACAAGUUUUUAUCCAGAAAGCAUCAUUUGGUAUUUAUCUGUGUUCUUCUGUCAACAUUGCCAUCAUUGAAAAUAGCACCAAGUCAUAUUGAAUCCAAGAAAUUAUACUUGUGGGUCGCGUCUCAAGUGUAGAUGAAAUGAAAAUAUGGUACUCACCAAGGGACGUGAAACACGCACAAAAAGUAGACACCAGAUUUGGGUCUUGCGUAGUACGCACCUAACUAAUUUGCACAUGGGAACUUCUCUGAUGGGUCCCACGUGAAUGACUUUAGCCCAUUUUCAAAAUCUCAUAUAAGGGAAAAUGUGGGUGUUUGGAAGGAAAAAAUUAUUUGGUGACUCUAAUUUUGGGACAAUGAAAAAGGUGAAGUAUAACAUUAACAAUGAAACUGAUGGAGUACUCAAAAUUUCUUCCCUCGGAGCAGCCAUUUAUACUUACUGAUGCUAGUAAUUAAAACUAUCUGCUAGUGUUUUACAUGGACAUUUUGUAUUUCCCAACUUCUAAUAAAUUAGAUAUAAUUCUUAGGACACAAUUUCAAUAAAAAUGUGCAAGAAGGGCAGGCCAGAAAAAUUUGGGCACAAUCAUGUAUACACGAAAAUGUUUUUUUAGUGCAUAAAGGCAAGAGAAUGUUCAGAAAAAGGGAAUGUGACAGGUACAAAGGAUAAGUUCAGCAGUCUGCUGCUACACAAUCUCCAUGACGCAAAGUCAUGUAAAACUUGAUUCUCAAAACUAAUUUCUAAUGCACGAGGAGCAAAGGUUCCACAAAAUCCCUUUUUCUUUUUCGAUUUUUCCUCUCAUGCAGGGAAAAAAACAAGCAUCAACAUUGCAGCUCAAUAUCAGGAAAAGUAGCAACCGGCAACAAAAACGAAACCAUUCUGCCACAGCUCCCUUCAUAAACAAUAAGCAAAUUAGCCAGACAAAAUGAAAAAGGCAAAUAGAGAAUGGCCAUAAUCCAGAAUCCAACAAAUUAGGUACUGUAGUGUCGAAAUUCAUUUAUAAAACUUAUUUAUCAAUUCCAGCGCCUGCCCAGCCAAAACUCCUGUUUAAUUAUUUGCACUGCUCUCAAGAAUUCCUAUAAGUUUAGUUCAAAGGCUUUACCAAAAAAUUAAGAUAUGCUAUUUCAAUGAAGUAUUUGAGGACUUUUUUUUCUCACUCCACCACUCAUGUGGUUAGAAUAACAACCUCAAAAUAAAAAAUUAGGACCCAUAUGCAAGAGACGUACCUCCAGAAGCACAUUUUACACGAGCUUGCUAGCACAAAUUAAGUAUGCUAGGUGCAUUUUGUGCCUCACUAUGUACCUAAUCUAUAUCAUUUAGUUGCUGAAAUCCUAGGACCCACAGCAAAUUAACAGAGGAAAAUGCACCAUAUAACCAAAAAGAAAAAAGUGCAGUUUGUUUCCUGUUUUUCAUUUAUUUAUCUUGUCAAGAUGGCUUGACAACCCCCAUUAACCUGUGGUGGUAACUCAAUAGUUCCCAAAAGAAGAGGAAAGAAACCGGAUUUCAUCUUGGGAAUUGGAAAUACCUUUCCCUCAGAGAAGAUAAAUAGCGGUCAAGACAUCCCUGAUGCACAGCAUGUCCACAAGAAGAAAGGUAAAUCCCAUCACAACCUGAGGGGCCAAAUCCAUCAUAGGCUGGAAGAACCAUUCUGGUAUCUGUCUGUCUGCAAGAAUGAGUACUUUCUGAUACUGAUGGGUAAUCUUCAGUUUCUUUGUAAACAGAAGCUAUAUAUUUCCCAAGCAAGAGACAUUGGGUGCUUCUUUCUUGGUUGCCUCCAGCUGCAGGAUAGUUGUUAAUAUGCAACAACUUACCAUGCAUUGCAUCUCUUAUCAAUGAAUACAUAUGGUCUUCCACCAUCUCGAUGGAAGAAGCUGUUCUUUCCUUGUGGUCAUUAGAAUUGGAAGGUGAUUCAAUAUUCCUAACUGAAGGAAAGUGGGCUUCAAUGAAUUUGAGGAAAGCAUUUAUUUCAGAAGAUCGCCCAUCCAAUGCAAAAUCAUCAACUGCACUCUGAAUCAAAUGCAAUAGUUCAGAAUUUGAGCCAAGUGGUGAAGUGCUUAAGGCACUGCUCGGAGAUGAAAGAUUGUCUGCACUUUCGCCUGUAGAUACUUCUUCUCUUUUUGAAGGGACACUUUGUGCCCAUGAAAGGGGGCCUCUAUCUAGGAAACUAAGAAGCCUGGAUUUCUAAGAAUUUAAGCUGAAAGUCAGAACUGAGUAUAAAUUAAAGUAAGAUGACAGCGAAGUAAUGUGGCAAUCAAAAGCAUUACAAACCAGCACUUGGCAAACUCAAAAAAAAAAUUAAAAAAUUGUCACUUAAAUGCACCUACCUGAAGAAGAACAAGGAAAGACAGUGGACUUUUGGAGUUAAGGUCAUGGCAGAGAGAACAAACGACUUCUUCAGUGUCUUUAGACCCAAAUUCAACAUCAGAAUUGCACAAUUCUUUUUGACAUUCUGAAUCCUCUGCCCCAUUGUCAAUAGUGGUAUCAAUGCUUUCCAAGAACUUUGACUGUUGGGCUCUCAUUUUCUCCUGUGCAAGCAAUUAGAAUGUAUCAAAAGAGGAAACUCAAACAAGACUAACAGCAGUAACAACAAUAGACAGGAAUGUUAAUAGCACUACUUUGUACUAAUUCACCAUACAAAAGGCAAAAUAGAUUGCUCUAGUGAAGCAAACAUUAGUAUACUUCCUGAAAUGAACAACAAAGCAAUAGCUGUAGCUGACACACACAAGCAGUAACUUGAUUCGAUUUUCUAUAAUACAAGACAUGCAUGUAUUUGUCGUUGAUCCAUAUUAAAGCAUUUUCUGGAUAUGUUUAAACCCAAGCUGUGCUGAACUCAAAAAUCUCGAGGAUAACAACAGAGAGAUGCAGAUACAUCUCUCCCAAAGAAGCUUCAAACUAGUAGAAAUGAAGCAUGCAAUCUAUUCAUGCAUCAGAGACAUGAUCCUUGGUAGAUAUUCAACUCAGAGCAUUACGCAUGUACAAGGUAAACCUGAAAACCCUCACAUGCUUGCAAGCAACAAGCAAAAACAUUCGGGUCCCUAACACUCCAUAUUUAUGGGUUUCUUAAAGCAAGAAUAGACUGGCAACUUUAUUGACAAUGACAGUUCAACGCAAAUAAAAAAGCUUAAAUACAUAUCACCAGUUAAAAUGAAUGUUGAUUAAUUUGACAAACUAUGCCAUAAGUAUUACAACAGAGAUCCUCACCAGGAUUGCAGCCUGCAUCUCACGUGCUUUUGCCUUGCGUUUAUCAUUAUCUGAAGCAAACCCAGAGACAUUAGCAUCAGCAUUUGAGAUGGACUGUGAUAGCUGAUUGACUACUUCAGGUGCAAGCUUUUGCAGUUUCAUGAAGCAUCCCGGUUCAAGCUCAGCAAAUUUUCUGAUUAGAUUUCCACACAAAGAUGAGAGGCUAGAAGUGGCAGCUUCAAUGAAGUUAUCAACCUUCUCUUUUUCAUGGAUCCUCAUCAGCAUAAUAAGAAGGGAUAACAAGCUCUGAUUGCGAUGCUUGGUUGUGGAUAUUUCUUCACGUGCAAAUUCCAAAAUGGGAAUAACAUCACCUGCAUAACAUGAAUGCUCACCAGAUUCUCUUUGCACGGAACAGACAUCCAAUGCUAGUGACAGCAAAUGCAACGCCGCCAAAAGCACACCAUCAGGAGCACGCAAUGCAGUUGAUUUAUCAGAGAAAACAGCAUAAAAUAGUACAGCACGAAUAAUUUGUAGUACAGUUUUACAGGUAGCUAUUCGAGCUAUCCCACUGAGAGGGUCAUAAAUCUUUGACCAUUUCGGAAGCUGGGUGGUUACUGCAGAGUCAUUACAAAAGCGCAAAUAUCUUUCUUCUGCCACCUGCAAGUCCCGUGAAUUCCAACGUGGAUGAUACAGAUCCAGUUCCUUCCAUUUUGGCAAUCGCAGUUUGUACAUACCCUGAAAAAACAGAAAUAACUGAUCACAUCUCAUCAAUGAAAACAAACAGAUUUUCUAUCCAGAAGCUGGAAAGGAUGGAGGACCAGAAGCACCAUAAGAAACGCAAACCUGAUUCAUGCCAGAUGGAUUGGAAUAUACAGCUACUGUAUCCAAUAUUUCCUGAAGUUUGUCAAUUUUUGAUACUUCUAGGGGAAGUGAUUUCACCAACUGACUAUGAGUGGCAUCUCCAAUGGAUAGCCUAUAUACCAAUUCUCUUUGCAAACAUUCAGUAUUUGUCAGUCCACAAAACCGCCUUUCUUGCACUAUUUGUAUGAUAAGUGUGAGCAUUUCCUGCACCAGAAUUGGUUCAUGCCUGGAAAUUAACAGAAAAGUGGCUGCAAGAUUAUUUGCUGAGAAGUAACAAUUUCUUGCCAAAUAAAGAAAUAUUCACCAUAAAAAGAAAAGAUUCUUGAGAUACAGCAUAGAAUGGUCAAUUAAUAUGUGAUCUAAGAAAAAAAAUCCUACACAAACUACCACAUUCCAUCAAUCAAAAGAUAACUCUUAAUGUAGUUGAAUUCAUCAUAAUCAAUUUCAUUUCUCAAUCUGGAAAAGAAGCACCAAGCCCUCCACUCGAACCUUUAUCUACCAGUAUAAGUUACCUUAUAAAGCAAAUGAGCACCAGUAAAUGGAAUUACCUAACUCACUCUGUAUCUGAACUACAUCCAUCACAGAAACAGAAAUUAUGCCAAGAAGGAUGUGAAGGCUUAUUAAUGAUGAAAGGACUAAAAAUUUCGCGAAGAUAAGAAAGUUCCUCAAGAGUGUGUGAGGUUAGGGUAACCAAUUACAUACUCACUAGACCGUUCAAGAUUCAGCCAAAGGUAGUUUGAUAGCCCAAAACGUUCCAGUAUUCUCUUAACAUAAUGAUCAGCUGGAGCUAGUGCAGCACAGCAUUGCAGGAGAAAAAGAUCAAGCUCUAAACCCUGUUCAGAACUGAAUAAAAAAAACUACCGAGAAUAAGAAUAUGCACCAGUGCAGGUUCCUCGAGAUCUGAUCAUAGAGAUGGUAAAGUACACGAUAAAAACUUUUCACCUACCAACGAACCGAGCGAUACCACUCACAAGACAAUAUGGCAGCAUCUCCAUUUCUGCGCCACAUCCCAGCUCGAACCUGCGCGCAGAACACUCUGAUUCGCAGAGGAUGCUCCAUAACAAAGGCAGAAAACCCAUGAGGGUGGCAACCUCCUAAAAUAUGACCAAAGAAGUCCUGAUGGAUGGUUGAUGAAGGAUCUCCAAAAGUAGCUCUUGACACAUUUUGCAGUGUAGAUUCACAAUAACACUUCCUCAGGGAUCUCUGUAAAACCAUGGAUAGUAAUCGAUGUAAUGGAAUGUGAGCAGAUAUAUCCUCAGAACUAACAUCAUAUGCUAAAUCAGGCCAAUCAGACAAACUUAGAACUCGAAGCGCUUCCAACUCAGUAGCACAUUCUCCAUCCAUAGGACUAUCAUCAGAACUACCAGCGCCUGCUUCUUGUCCCAAACUUUUGCAGGACUCCCGGCCAACUCCCAUGUUAAUACCACUUCGAGACGGUAAAGAAUAUUGUCUGCCAAGUACUUCACCUGAGCUAUUGAGUUUACUACUUGAAGAUGGCACUAUGCUUGAUUUAAAAAUAUAUCUGCUUUUCCUGAACUUAGACAGAGUCCUCUUCAAUGCAAAGAAAUUAUUGCCAGACAUAUUACCUAGUUUUGGAGAUAAGUAACUUAAGAGAGGCCCUGAUGUGUUAUCCACUCCCAACCAAUUCUCAAUAGCCCUCAAGCACUCAUAAGUUAACCAUAACACUGAUGAAGGAAGAGAAAAAUCAUCAGAUUUUGCAUCACCAACCUUUGAUGAAUGAUCAAACAAGUUCCUUCCAGUCAUACUACUAACAGAGCAUUCCUGUGAUAUCCUCCCAACUUUGGCAUGUCUUAUGCUAUCUUGGUCUUCAAACUCUUGUUUAUAUGUAUUUAAGCAAGUUUCUUCCUCGCUCCCAUCAUGACCACUGGCAGAAAAUGCACCACCAACUAAAAGUGAAUGAAUAUUUGCAAUAGAACGACCCAAAAGAAAAGGCAAAUGCAUAUUAUCAUUUUCUUCUUCUAUAUGCAUGCCUGUUUCUCUCUUUUGAGGAUUCAUCCCCUGCACAAAACCCAAGAGUCUCAUCCACAUUCUUGAUAUAUCUCGCCGUUCACGAGUCACAAAUAUGGGCACAACAGAGUGGCUCAUAACAAAGCGAAUGUCCUCCACAACUCGGAUAGUAGUUUCAUAGAGUUUUACCCACUUGGUAAUCUGAAAUAGAACAACGAUCAUCAUUCUUCAACGAGACUAGCAAUUUGUAUUACAAGUAACAACCAGAAUACACAAUGCAGUGGAAUCUUGUUUUAUGCAAAAUAUCAUUGGGCUUAAGGUAAAAAAACUGGCGCUCAACACCGUGGUUGAAGCAAGGCCAGCAGAAAAAGCUGCCAAAAAAGAUAACAGAAUCUGAGGUACUAGAUUCCCUAACUCUUACCAGACUCUGAUCAACAAAGGAUUUAGCUUAUAUAGGCUCCAGAAUAGGUCCACAAGUAGAAACUAUAUAAAACCAAAUCCCCAAAAUACCCCCAAAAGAUAGAGUAAUUAUUUUAAAUUUUUUUAAAGUUUGAAUUUUGCACUAACAUUCUGUUUAAUUCAUCUCCACUUUCAAAAAGCAAAAUUUUUUCAUGCCAAUCCCAGGGAGGACAUACAUGAAAGGACAAGGUAUUUAUUGAUUAAUUUCUAUUGAAGCACCAACCAAAAAAUUUUAAAAAUCUGACAAAGUCAAGGUUGUUAAGAAAAUAACAAAGGACAAAAAAAAAAAUCUCUGCUUUGAUAUGCUGUUUUUUGGGGGAAAAAAUUCGAAUAUUCCCUAAACCAUAUUCCAACCUCCAUUUUAAUUUCCCAACCAGCUUUUCACCUCACAAACAUCAUAUUCAAAAUGUGAAACAAUAUCAGUUUUCCAAAAAAGCAAUCAAAAUAGAUAUUGCUCGGCUUUCAGUGUCUAUGGUGGCAACAAAAGGAGGUUUAGUAAGAUAUUUGGCAACUGCAGGGAGGGGGGGGGUCCAUCCUAUCAAGAAGGUUGUACAGCCACAAGCCUCAUGUUCAAAUGCAAUCACGAGAUAUACACUCACAAGCAUUUCCAAGAGAAAUAGAAGAGUCUGUGCUAAAAAAAGCAGCUAGUCCCUCAACCAAAAAAGUUAGACAAAAAACUCAACCUCCUAUUUUCUGAAAGACCAGAAUAUUAACAAAACAAUAAUAUUAUUAAUUGGUCACUAAUACAUAGAUUUUUUGGAACCAAUCAAGUGCUGGUACUGACUGCUGAAAACUAGAGAUAGCUCUAGCAACUUCCCCAGACUAUGCUACAGAACCACACAAAAUUUUAUAUAUCUGAAAAAUGCACAAACAGUUAAUAUACAAAACUUAAAGAGCUAUAGAUAAGCAGAUGUCAGAACAAAAACGUAAUCGAAACAUACCUGCAGCUGACCAUCUUCACCAGCACAAGAAAUGAAUAUAUCUCCUAAACAUUCCAGAAGCAUGGGCAAGAGAUUCAUUUCCUUCACAAGUCGUGGAGUUAGUGUAGGAACGGUGAAAAUUUGCACAGAGAAUGUUGGUAGUAGAGGAUACUCCUUGAAUAUGUUAUCAUUAUACUCUUUUAUGGCUUCCGCCACAACCGUUGGAUAAUAACUUAAAAAUACUUUUGCAAACUCAUAUUUAAAGUGAGGUUCACCCAGCAAUUUCAGUAGUAACUCGUACAGUUUCCUAACAUCACCACCAACCAAGAACCUCUCUACCCUGACAAGAACAUCUAGCAAACCAGCUGAAGAGAAUACUCUCCCGGAAAUGAAACAAAGAAGGCUUUCACUGCAUUUACAGAAUUGCAAUAGUAGCUCCACGACAGCAGAUGUCAACUCUUCCGCGAACUUUUUGAGUUCAGGAACAUGAUCAGAUUUAGCUUCAGAUGCACUUUCAGCACAUAUAAGCCUCCUUUUCCAGUAACCAAGUAAUGAAUCCAAAACAGGCCACAUAGAGUCAGCAAACUCCUUAGGAAGGGGUUGUAUCUGUUCAGCACCUUUAUGCUUGGAACAGAAACCCUCACGUUUCCAUGCAGUAAUAUCCCCACAGUCACAGCAGCCACCACCUGUGUAUAUGAUAGAGUAGUCAUGAUCCUUGUGAUUCCCAUUUUGGAAACACGGAACACAGAUUGCACAUGUUGGAUCAUGCUCACAUGUACGGCAUUGGUAAGCAAUAUCAUUAUUCCCCCAAACAGCUCCACAAACACCACGUUGGUCAACAUUCAUCUGAGACAGGUUCUCCAGUGCUGUUCCUGGAUCACCCUUGAACAUCAGCCACUGCAACCAAACCAUACUUUCAUGGAGUAUCUGUUUAAGAGUAGGGCCUACCCUAUUUUCAGUUUCCUCAGACUCAGCUUCUGAAAGAGCCUCUAGUGCAUCUUUGUCAGUAGGAAGGAUUGUAGAGACUAAUUCUGCCAUAUCAAAAUGGCUAUUCUUCACAUAAGAAACUAAACCAGGCUGCUGACCCUCCACGUACUCCGGAGGAAUUCCCAGUUCAGCCAGCCUCUGAAACAGAUGUUUGAGAAUAAAAUUAAGUGCAAAGUUUAAAGUACCAAGGUCAUAUGUCCUUUAAUUAAACUGAAGCAUCCAACAAUACAUAGUAUAGCAGCUACUAAUAUUUCAAACAUAUAUACUUCCCACUUUCGAUGUUUAUAAAAAGAACCACUACAAAGAUAUUGAAAAAUGAAUGUUUACAUGCAAAUCUACUUCUUGCAUAUGAUUGCCACAAGGGCCAAUUAGAGCAAGCUAAAGGCAUGAAGAAUUAAACACAUUAGGCUAGAGGAACAAAGUCCCCACAGGAUGACAUAGGCAAACAUCCGACAGAUCAGACUUUGACGAUAUUAAACAUGCAAAGAAAGGGGAAGAACCACUCAGAACCAGAACCUAGCCAAAAUGUAAAAUAGACCUCAAUUGCAUUACAUGCGGUGUGAAAUAAUUCAUGUUUUUUGGUGUGAAAUAAUUGCCAUGUUUCUUGUACCAUUCUGGAUAGGGUGUAUUGAACAAGCACAAAGAAAGAAGACUAAUUCAUUCUGAGCAGCACAAAGAAAAUGUGAAUGUAUUUCGUUUUUCUCCUUUUUGGCGCAGAUCGAGUCAAUGCAUAUAAACUUCGAAGUCUCUGAAAAUCUUCACCCUGAUGGCAAUUCUCAUGCAGCUCAACAAUAGAGACAAUACGCAUCCAUCAAAUUAGCAAGGAUACGAAUGUAGAUAAAACUUUUUAACUUCUCAAGAGAAACACAACUUCAUCUGCUUGUUCGAACUCUUCAAGUGCUUUAGAACACGACAAGAUUCAGAAAUCUUGAAAGUGCCUUGCAUUUCAUUUUCCUUCCCAACUUGUUUGCUACAAAAGUCAUACUAUCAAAUGACCCAUAAAUUACACGAUAUUUUGUAUAAACCUCUAUAACCUUAUGUCCAACAAUUAAUCCAGCUACCCCUAAUUCAAUCCUAUGAAUUCAUACGCUUCUUUCGGCCUUUAUUCAGCAACUACCCCCUUGACAAGUUCCGUUCAAAGUAGUGCUGUAGAAUACUAAUUCAAAAAACUGACCCCAAGCUGAUCUAUUUUGUCGAAGACCAAAGGGAGCUAGUUCAAGGCUCCAAGCAUCCCAGACUGUUUGUGCAGCAACUGAUCUAUAUAAGUGGUUGGUCAGGUUUCAGUUUACUCUCCAAUCUUUUACUUCAUUAAAUCCAAGCAGUAAGACGAGCCUCACUCAUAUCUGAAACUCAAUAUCUACAUUCUUUUUUUAUAUUUAUAUUUAUUUUUUCUGUAUUUGAUGAGUUGCAACAGAAACGACUAUUCUAGAUAAACUAACAGAAGUUAUAUAACUCCAUUUACCUGAACUUUCACAGUAAAGUUGACAGUAUAUUUAAAUAUCAAUCGUUGAUUUUUUUUUUUCCCACCCCCUCUUCCCAUUCCAAACCUUUCCUCGUCAACCAACCACCAGUAACCAAACCAAAAUUCAUCAUGGAAUACGGAGCCAACAAUCAUGCAAAGAAUGUAUAAAUAUUCAAUGGAAAUAGCAAUCUUUUCAUAAAUAAACGCUGUAAUCAGCAAAAAAAAAAAAAAAAAUUUAUUUGGGUGGCGGAGGCGUAGCGAAAAACGCUGUAAUCAGUAACUUCAGGUAUCUAGUUUUGCACAAUGAACCCUUUCCUAACUUGUUAAGCAACAAAAGAAGCAGAAAUUGGAGCAGUACCUGCAGAAUGCGAGCUCCAGGAGAGACAUCCAUGGCCUCCGUCGGCGAGUCAAUCUCCAUCUGGAACGUCGCUCCAAAGCAAUCAACGCAGUUAUACCACUGCUUGCAUCCACAACUUUCACUCCCCAGGGCUGCCCAAACCCCCAACUCCCACCAGCCUUAACACCCACAGCAACUGUAAAUAUAGAAAUAUUUGACCUAUGAUUGGAAACCCUGGAUAGACAGAUAUAAUAAUUCUACCAGGGGUUUUUUUUCCCUUCUUUGGGCCUUAAAAUUUCAGAGCUCAGCUCCUCGUUUUGUCUUUAAUAAAAUCUGCGUCUGUCUGUCGAAGAUUAAUAGUAUAAUUUUGGAUUUCAAUAAAUAUGUGAUGAUGAUUAAGACGGUUUAGCAAUUUUGCUCUCUAAACUUUUUUGCAUAAUUAGGGGAGUCUACAAAUAUAUUAAAAUCCUCCUCCUUUCUCUGUUCUUCUCCUUUUUAUUUCCUCCUACUUAGCGCCAUUGCCCCUGGGUCGGGGGAAGGGUGGAAUGGUCAUUUGACGACCCUUGGCCUUGGGGGUCCGGUGUAAGUCGGUGAAGGGGUGUCGUAUUUGUGUACCGACCCCGUAUUCGUUGAUUCAUGGGCUCAUGGGCUAGCGAGAGAGGGACAGACGACCCUUUCGAAACCAUACGGGCCGGCUUAAUGGAGUUAAAUGGAAAUUCAAAUUGGCACCUGGCCCAGCAGGAGCAUAGUUGGUUGGAGAGGGCACGUGUUCUACCACCUUCAAUACAGUAGCCAUUUAAUUUACCACUCUUUUUUUUUUUUGGGAAAAUCAUUAAUUUACCCCUGCAACACACACGAGUCAGUCGUUACGGUCUUGCGUUACAAACUCCCUCAAAUUAACUUCGCUCCAAAAAAACAUCUAGGUGUCUCAACCAAUAUAUCAUUGGGCAUUUCCAUCGUUCUUUUUCUUUUAAAAAAAAAAAAAGAUUAUCAAUUCUUAACUUGUAAACAGUGGGCAUCAACCGUUACUUUUCUUGAAAGGAAAAUAAAAGAUACCAAAUUGAACAACAGGUUGCAUUGGAUCACUUCCUAGUUAUACAAUACCAUCUCAACUUUUGAAGUUCCGAGCAGUUAACUUUAUGUUAGCACAAUCGAAUCAAGUUGUCCAUGACUCAAAAUCCAUACUAUAUAUAAGGAGAGGGAGGGUUCGUAUAAAUAUUUUUGUGUCACUUUAUGUUCUUUCUAAACUAUCCUUGAUAACGAUUUAUUUCCAAUUUUUAAUAUAUCCUUCUUCCAACUAACAUGUAUUUCUUAUUAUUAUUUAGUAAAUCUUUUAAUUUUUAUUAGCAACUAUCAAUUAUGAUUAUGAAUUAUUACUAAAUAAUUAUUUGUUUGUAUAUUUUAUUUUAAUAAACUUUCUACAUAUUUAUUACUAGAACAUAAAAUUAAUUCUUUUGAAAAUGAUUUCAAAUAUACUCAAAAAAUUUAUCACAAAUUUCUUUUAUUAGUUGCAUACAUAUUUGUGUGCGUGCCUUGAGCACUAGUGUGCGUGACGUCUCAAUAGAAUGACGGUUCGAUUGUUUGUUGCCAUUUUGAUUCCAAUCCUUCAACUUACAAAAGAAAAUGCGAUAAUUUUAGAAACUUCUCUCGAGAUUUAUGACUAUUUUAUUGGCCUUCCUCCAGGUUUCUAGAAUUGUACUAACCUCUCUUGAAGUUUAUUAUCUUAUAUCAUGUAGGUCCAAUCAGCAAUUAAAAAGUGAUAUUAGUAAAGAGAAAAUAACAUAUUUUCAUCAUUACCCCCCAUCUACUAUAUUGUUUAGUUAAUCUACUAUCAGCCCAAACAUUAAAUAAAAUGUUAGAAUUUGCUAUUUAUCAUAAAGGAUCAAAUCACAUAUGGCAUAAAAAAAGGUAUAUUAUUAUAAAUAUCUCAUUUAAUAUAGGAUCCAAUUUUUUUCUUCAUUUACAAACCUAUUGUAAAACAUGAUCAAUGACAAAUAUUCAAAAAAUUUUGAAAUUAAAACAUUACAAAUAGUGAACUUUAAUACGAUGAAAAUCUCAACAACAAACCCUGAUACGUUAAAAGAAUAUUUAUGAUGUUAAAAUUUCCUCUCUAUAUUAUUUCAAUUGCAAAUAUUUUUUUAUUAUUUAUUGUUAAUCAUGUGAUUAGUAUUAAAUUAACUAAAUAAUGUAGUAGAUAAGGGACAAUGAUGAAUCAUGCUUUUUUUUUCCUCCUCUGAUUGGAUUUAAAUGUUACAAAAUAAUCAACCUUAAGGGAGGUUAAUGUAAUUUCCAAAACUUAGAGGGAGGCUAGUGAAAUAGUUAAAAACCUUAGGGGAGGUUUCUGAAAUUAUCCCAAAGAAGAAUUGAUCUUUAUUGAAAAAGGGCACAACACAAUUAAAAUAUAGAAGCUUUUUUUUUUCCCUUUCUAAUGCCACCUUGUUAAGUGGGUUUCUGUACAAAUCCAUUGUACCUCGAUUCAUCUUUCACUAGUAACCAAUAGGUAAUCUACACGAAGGCCAAAACUUACGCCCUCUCGCAUCGCUGCCACCAAUUUUCUCCAUGAUCGCGAGACAUCAAAAAAAUCUGCACUCUGGAUGGACAUCUUACAUUGUUCAAUGAAGCCACCACCCUCAACAAUCUAUAAGCUACUCCUGAAAAGCUGCAGCCAAACAGCCAAAUCUAACUUCGAUUCUGACUUUUGCUUCCUAAUGAACAAGGGAACCAAAGAAUCAAACCUUAAAAGUAGAACGACGGCCAGUAAAAUAGAGAGUGAAAACAGAUAACAAUAGCAAUAGAAGCGGAAAAGGUGAGAAAUGGUUAAGGAAGAAAAACAUAAAUAAGUAAAAUCAUAAUCCACAAUGCAGUCGGUGGAAGAGAGAUUAUUCAAGAAGGUUAGCUUCAAGAGAAGUACAAUAACACUUGUAAUUAUAUUAACAGCCGACAUAAUUGAUAGGAAAUGUCAAGAGGAAUGACAACAGCCAUAUACAACAUUAAUUUUAGCUUCCUUCUUUUAAGUUCCAACCUGCUUACACGGUCAACACUUCUUGACGGUGGACAGGAAUUCAAUCGCAUGAUACUACUCCAAUUACUGUUAGUAUUUUUUUAGUGUUAUCCACCUGAGCACUUAAUAAACCACCUCAGCAACUCUUUUCUGGUGUUCACUUUAAGGUUCACAAAUUUUAAGUCUUCCCUCCCUUUCUCCAUGUGUGUGUCUGUGAGCAAGCUAGUCGGCAUGCAACAAGAGGAAAUUCAAAAGAGAAUCCUAUAAGAAGGCGAAUGACUUUCAAUUAAUACACAUGCACAUUAAAAGGAAGAAUAAUAGACAGUAAGUCCCAUGUUGAAUAACAACUUUCCUUCUUUUUCCUAUUUUUUCCCCCCAGAUGUGUUCUUUCUUUCAUACCGUAUGGUUCAUAGGUAAAAAGAGCUCAUGACAAAGAACACUCCCUAUAAUAUAUAACUCCUCAUAGUGUAUGGAAUGGCAAAAGAUAGAGCAAAUUUCCAUUGAAGAUAUGUUAAUAUUUGACUCCGAUAAGUUUUAAAAAUAUAUGUACACAUGGCUCAAAUACAGAGGCUAAAAGAAUAGGAUAAGAAGGCAGUUGGAUGAAGUGCUCAGAUCAACAACAUUCUCCAUUUCCCAUAGUUUCUUGGAAGUGUUUUAUAAGUGACUCAUGAAGCAGAAAAAUUAAGACUAGCAAGACUUGGUCAAGUCUUUGAAGCACUCCCGGACAAUAGGGUAGUAGGUUUAGUAAUUCAUAAACAAUAUCCUUUCGUGUGGCCUUGGUAUACAAAUUAAAGAGAAAUUCACUUUAUUCAAGUUAAAGUUGUACUAUAGGAAACAAGAUCAAAGAGUGGUAAAGUAGGCCCUGCCUUUCGUGCAAUUCUUCUCCAGGGAAACAAGAUCCUGAUCUAGUGCCAACAACUUACACACUGAAGAGGUAGCAGAUAAGAAAUACUAGGAGGCAAUCUAGUGUGCUCCAAUAUAAGCAGUGAACACAAAAGGCAAAGAAUAGCACACACACAUACCAACAACAUGUACCCAAUACUAGUUGAAUUCUGGUCAAACAAACAAAAGUAGUGUAUCAAGGUUUAACUGCUUCUUGUUGGAACCUCUGCAUGCAAGAUGACCAUUUCCCACAUAUUAAAUACAAGAGCACCCUUUUUCUAUAUAUUGUCCCUUGUUAACUAUAUCCAGGUUAUAUGAUUUUUACAGAUUUGAUUCAAGUUCUAUGCCUGGCUUAUAAAGAAAAACAAGCGCUCCAGUAUCAUUUAGAUCCCAAAUUCAUCCUAUUUCAAUCAAUUAGCAAUCUGCUUGUUGAACUGCUUAAAUCUAUCAAAAAGAACAUUUAACCACGGAUUGUCAAUAUAUUGAUAGGUUCAAUAGUUCUCAUUCUUGCUUCAGAACAUGAUAACAGGUAUUAUCUGCAGGAUAAGACAUGAAUUAUAGGCUGUAAAAGAACAGAAUAAUAGGAGACAUACAAGCACUUUGACGAGAGAAAGAAAAGAAAAUUUAUAUGCAUGUGUUCAAGUAUAAACAAAUAACCAGCUCAUGAAGGCACUUACAGUCAUGUUCUAUGUCACCCCCGUCUUUGCUGUCUCUAAAUUAUUUUUGGCUGGAGAAACCUCUUUAAUGGUUGGACUAUGAUGAUUUGUGUUGUUGUCACAUUGCUCCUCGUUGAAUACAAACUUAAGCUGCUUCUCGACGGACUUUAAUACAGUAGUUCGUUUGGAUCUUAACCGAUAUGGUGGAGAUGCAUUAAAUGAUUUAGCAUUGCAAUGUCCAUUGGUGUCAUUGUGAGAACUUUCAUGGAAACUUCUAUCUUGCAACUCAGAUCUCUGGAAAGUACUAUUUUGCUUACUCUCAUCAGAUACAAGAAGUCUAUCCUUGAUACUUUCUUCGUCCUUCCCAACUUUAUGUGAUGGUGUUGAUAAAUGAUGUUCAGUCUUUCUCUUUCUUAAAAUAGAAGGAGUGUUUGGGAAACUUUGAGCAGCAAUUUUCAGUAUAGAUUCUGGCGUUUGCAGGUACAGGCCACCACUGCUCACACUAGGUGGAGUGAAAAUACCAAUAGGUGACAGUUUUGGACUACUCUCAGAGUACUGGUGACCAUUUUGAAGAUCCGAAUCCAGUGGAACAUAGUUUUCUAGUAGUGGUGGCUCAUAGUACAAGGUACCGUAUUCUGGAAUUUGAGAGCUCAUUGGUGUCUCUAUCACUCUAUAUUGAUAGAUUUCAUCACUAGUUCUGCUUUUGUCAAACAUGGCAUCUAUGUUUGGAUCAAUCUGGCCAGGGUUUAUCUGAAAAGACUCUUCCUCAUAUCUAACCACUUCAGAAUCAGUAGAAUUGUUGUGAAAAACACUAGUUGAAGCACCAAUGUCUGGGACUGAGGAGGCAAUAUCUUCUUGAUCCUUACCAACUACUUCCACUUUAUGGCCAUCUGUGAUUUCUGAUGAAGCUAAAGCUAUUGCGUCUGAUCCAUUGUGUGACCUACCAAUGACAUUAACGGAUGACAACCCACUAAUGUCUGUAGAACCAUUUUGAAGACCAUUCUUAGCAACUGGGGGAAGAUUCCCUGUGGCCAAAUAGAAAUCUAGCUUUUUCUUCAGAGAACUAUUCCAGUGAUUCUUGAUUGCAUUAUCGGUCCUGCCAAAUCAUAAAAGGCACAGCAUAUAUAAAACACUAAGCAUGAUAUCAUCGUAAUUCCAGCAUUCGCACCUAAUUUGCUUAAAGCUGGGUGAAAUCAGAACAUUUACCCCUACUGAGAUAUUUUCUUCUGUUGCUUCUAAAGUGUCCCUGCUACUACCCGAAAGCAGGAAACAGAACAUAGAUAGUGUCUGUAGCAUAUCAUCUCUAUUGUCAUAGAAACAAACCAGAACUAAAUAUCUCUUUCUCUUUACUUUGAUUUUUUCUUUUUUUUUGGAGGGGGGGGGGGGGGGGCAUUGUUGCCAGAGGGGUUGUCAGGUUCAUCAACCUAUUAAGCUUCUAAGUCAACAAAAUGGAACUUGUAUCUAAUUUGAUCUGAACAGACAUUCACCCAGAUUUUAGAAAAGCACGAGGCAGAAUUGGUAGAGUAACAGCUCACUUUACUGUCAAGAGUGUCCACAUCUUUAUGUGGCUACAAAAACUGAUAAUUAAGUUUAGAACAUCCGACUGUAAAAGAAGCAGCUAGAAGUAAUUUAAUAUAAAAAUAACAUCCUAGUCUUGGUCGAUGAAGAGACAGGUAUUACAACAAGAAUAGAUUUGGUCUAGACAGUGGACUACAUCCUGCAUCAAUCAAACAUCUGGUUAUUAUUGCUAUAACCAUUAUCUAUAAUAUUAUUAUAGUCAUAAACCAUAUCAUAAGAACAGCUUGAGAAGACCUACUGACUCAAGUGAAUGCAGCACCAAAUUCAGACACUGUCUACUGAAUGUUUGCAAUCAAGGAAUAUACCUGCCAGGUAGAACCUUAGCAAUUUCAGCCCAUUUGUUCCCGUGAACCCGAUGGGCAUUCAUGAGAGCUAGUUCCUCUUCCAAUGCCCAGGCAUCCUUCUUUAUGCCAGGAUUCAGAUGAUUGUGCCACCUAAACAUUUUGAAAGCAAUAAAUUACAUCCACAGAAAUAAACAAAGUAAUAGAACGUUAAGCUAAUUAAAAAUUUUAGAAGACUAAAAUGACUUGAUGAGAUAUGAAGAGGGAAAAUAGUUGGUGCUCAGAAAAUUAAAAACGGUAUACAAAUUAAAUAUGUAACCAUAAAUGUCUAUUGUACUUCAAAUAGGCAGACAAAAUCUCAUACAUGUACAUGAAAAUACCUACUUUCAAUGAUUUUACAUGUGCAUUCGGAGCACAGAUUUUAGAGUAAUGUAUUAAGUCCCAAAAUCCUGAAAACACGACACAUGAAAACUGCUGUAGUAUGAAUAACAUACAGACUAGAUCAAUCAAUGCCAACACUCACAACUACCUAAAACCAUUCUAGAACUGCAAAAUUUUUGAAGUUCUCAAAUAUGCACUUCACCAAUAGUUGAACAAGAAUUUAACUUCUACCAAUUUGCAGAUUAAACCCAAAAACGAAUACAUACUGUAUUUAUAGUGUUACCUUUCGCGGCACUGCUUCCCGAUUCGACCAGGCAAAGACUUUGCUAUGACCGACCAUUUUGUAGGCCCAUAUUUUGCUACUAGUUCAACAAUUUUUUCGUCUUCCUGUUAGCCAAAUAACAGGAGGAGCUCAAUCAAUAGGGGUAAUUAUCAACAUAAAAACAAUUCUGACUCAAGCCUAGAGACGCAUGAGAAAAAUGGAGGACAUAAGAAACCAGAAGCCAACCUACCUCCUGAGUCCAUGGUCCCUUAACAAGUUCAGGAUUUAGAACUUUUUGCCAUCUGUGCAAGCACUGCACUUCUGAUCUAUCCGGAAAGAAUUCAGCUGCACAAAUGGCAAUAUGAAAAUUAAAAGAAAUCUUUUGUACAUUGUUGUUUUAGAACCUAUGCAACUGCAACCCAUAUAGAUAUCUGAACAACUUCCUAUCCAAAAUCUUAUGUUAAUCUAUAGAAACACCUGUUAAAAUCUUUAGUUUGACAAUCACUACAGGUGUAUUAUUUUCUUCUAAAUGUAUUGGUUGACAAUUCCUAUUACAACCUAUAUUCAUGCGAUGCUCUAGUCCCAGAACGUAAAAUAACAGAUUCUCAGAAUGGUGCCCAUCAAAUUACUGCCACUGGGGAUCAAACAACAAUAAGAUGCACCGUGAUGCAAAAAUGAAUACCUAUUUUCUUCCAACACUUCCCCUUGAAAGCUGCAACAGCUCUUUUCAGUGUAUCAUCCUAGUAACACAUUUCCAAAACUUUUAUUAACCCAAAAUGAAAAACCGAAAAUGAAGAAUCAAGCUGCAUAUUCCAACUGAGCUACGACAAAAAUUUGUAUCUGGCAACAGAUAGAAGAUCAUGUGAUUUGAACAAUAAAAAAAUAGAUAAAUUGCAAGAAGAUAACUAUAAUAAUAAAAAGACAAUUACUUGAUUGUUCACCCAAUUGACUUCAGUCCCCAGAAUAUAACAAUUGGUAAUUUUUUAAAAUUCUAGAUCCAGCUUAAACUGGCUGCUAAUAUUGUAUGACUAAAGACUGCCUCUCACUUUUGUGGUCCGUCUCAGAAAUUAAUUGUAGAAAUUGCUCACCUCCUCUGGUGUCCAGCCUCCUUUCGCUCUCCUAAUUGGCCCCGUUGUCCUCCUACAAGUCAACAUGCACAUCAUUAUGUUAACAUGGUUUAGUGCACUUUGAUGCAUUAAAGAUGCAAAAGAUAAAGAUUAAGCCAAGCAAGUGUAAAAUCUUACAGUAACUACCAAUCUCUUGAUAUCACACCAAAUCCAGAAGGUUCCAAAUAGAGAACAGACAAAAUGGAUAUCAUUUGACUGACCACUGAAGACAGCAGUCAUUUUAGCAGCCUUCCCUAUCCCUACAUCAGCUUCCAAUUUCCUAAACCUGUAUCCUAAGACACUCUCACUUCGCAUUUUCAGCACAACACCACAAACUAUCCUUUUUUUCAUCAAUGGCCUAGAUUAACUUCCAUUGUUGCUCUAAUGAGAGCAUCAAGUGUCUACAUUAUUUUCCAACACAAUAUGCUUUGGCACAUUACUACCAGUUCCAGUUAGGAAUGAAUCUUCAGAAAUUUCAGAGUUUAUGAGUAAAUCAUUGUGGUCAAUCUGAAAUUCCACUUUCUUCCCCUCCUCCUCUCAAAUUAUGGAACCACUUGCUGCUCCUGAGGACCAAACUCAUAAGGUCACAUAUGCCGAUUAAUCAUGUAUAAUGUCCAACUUACGAAGUAUUUUCUUCUAAGAGACAAUAGACCUAUAUGUAUGAUAGUUCGUCCCUACAAAACACCAAAAUCCACCCAAAUAACAUGUAUCCUGAAGUAAAUUACAUAUCUUAAUGUGGUGAUUACAGUGAAGCUUGACAUUUUGAUUAGGAUACAUUCAGUCAAAAUCUUGAAAGGAAAAGGUACUAAUAGAAUGAAUACCGAUGAGAUGGAGAUGUAGCUGUCGGGCUUCCAAUCCCGGGUGAUUUCAGUGUGACACUGCCACUGGUUUCAGAAACAGACGAACUCGAAGCAGCUGCUGACUGCUUAUUCUCCAGACAAUAACCCUCUGUUUUCACCUCUGUCAUCUCCUUCAGAUCAUCACCUCCAGAGCUCAACAUCCUAAAGCACGUUUAAAAUAUCCAAGAAAAGAAAAGAGGAUAAAAGUCCUAAUCCACAAACAAAAGCUAGUUAAACUCGCACAAAAAGCAAAGCCCUUUAAACUAAUCUCAGGAAUUCGCCAGAAAGGGACAAACCCACGUCAGCAUAAACCCUAAAAACCCCAAUUAAAAUAGAUAGUCGUAAUCCAUUCAAUUACCAAUGAAAUUAAACUAAAACCAGAUCUCGUGAAUCAAUAUCAGAUCAAAAUAUGAUUAAGAAACCUCCAUCAGACACUGCAACACUGAAUUACUAAAACACUUACAGCUUUGGCAUAUCAAACAGAUAACAACAAUCGAUAAAAAUUAAAAUACAUCGCAGUAGUCUAAUCAAGGGAAAGCAUAGUUAAACCUAUCGCAAAGCAGUUGAAUUUUCCAGAAAAAAUUUCAAGAAUCACCUCUAUACUAGAGAAAUGGCGGGAAUUCAACUCCAGCUCAUCGGACCCUUAAAACUCAGAAAGAGAAGAAUUCAGUUUAGAGAGAGAGAAGAAGAAGAAGAUUGAAGCUUUCGUUUCGCAAGAAAACCUUGCCCGUUGAACAAUAAAGAAAGAGAAAGAUAGAGAACGUAUAUAUCCCUAUUAUUUAUAAUUUUGUACAUAACGAAUAUCACCGACGGUGCCGUUUACUGGCCGUUAAAUUUUGUUGGUCUAGGGGCUGCGGAGUUGGGGAACUUCGCAUCAGGUUAUGACGGCGGUUAACGGUUUCACGUGAACGUUGGGGAACGAAGUUUGAACCUCAAACGGCACACUGCCCUUAUGUAGGUUAUUGGGUUAAAUGUGGGACGUGCUUAGAGGAGUUAAUGGUUCCCGGGUAAUUCUGGACCGUCUGAUUACGAUAUUGAUUGUUUAGGGGUUCUGCACUUCUGGGCUUUUCUUUACAUGCCAAAAUAUAUUCCUUAUACUAUAUAAGAUUGAAUUUUGGUCAAAGAGGAAAUUAAAUUUCAACCGCAUAGGUAGGGACUUUUUGAAAAUUCUUUAUAUUAUGAAGUGUUUUGCAAGCUGAAGGUACAAGUCAGGAAAGUCUGUGAUUGGGUAUAUUAACUGAAAUGGCCUCCUUUAUAGACAUUUAAAACUUUAAAUGUGGUUGUGUGUUUGGGUAUUUAUGAUAUGUGCAAUUAAUUUGGAACCAUUUGUUGCUUUUGAUACAACUCAUAUAAGCAUGUGGGUUUGUGUAAUUACUGAAAUGGCCUUUACACAGCACACGUUCAGCUCUUGAGCCGCAGACAGCCGUUUGGGACUCGCUCUUUGGCUGAAAUUGCCUAAAAUAAGUUUUGGCCGCUCUCACAGACAAAUGUUUGUGUCUGUAAUUUGAACAGCCUUUUUCUCUGCUGUUCUUGGCCACUGUUGCCUAAUGUUUCAUGAGCUUUCCAGAUAGUUUCAUGUUUGCAUCUGAAUAUUAGUUUUUGUAUUCUUUGAAUGUUGUCUCAUGAUAUUGUUAGCUUUACCGUCCUAAUUCCCAGCUUGUCUUUUCAUUGUCUCUUAGGUGUGAACUCCACUAUUUUGCUGUCAUUUAUGCCUGAAUUUAAUGGCCAUAAACAUAGGUUUAUUAAUGACUCCAUGUCUGGCCUUUGGGAUUGGGUCUGUUCCCCCUCUCAAUUUCGGAAAUUGAAAUUUUCCAUGCCUCUUCCUUUCCCCUCUCAUCCGAGCUCAUGUCCGAAAGACCCAAUUUCUUUGACAUUAUAGCCUCAAUUAAAUAGUCAAGUAUUUGUAUGUUACUGCUUAAACGGCUGCGCAUUGAUUAUGCUUAUUUCAAUGCCUCCUCUUUCGUUUUUUUCGGUUUCACCCUUUUAAUAUUUUGGGAUUUGGGCUGUUUUUUAUGCCUUUCUACCGAGCAUCUUAGAAUGUUUUUUAGCCGCAACUACUUCUGGUGGUUCAGUUUGAGAUAAGAUUUUUUUCGCAAUUUUGUCGUUCAUGUGGGUGGUUUGGGCCAUGUGUGGUGUCGAUGUAUACUUAAUUCCUAAAAUUUGACACUGGGCCCUUGUAAUUUAGCUGCAACAUACAGAUUUUUUCAUAAAUUUAGAAAGCCUCUGUAAUUUGACUGAUUUGCUUAUAAUGUUAUAGGUUUGAGAUAAUAGCAAGAAAAAGCUCUCAGUGGGGUUUUUGGAAUAAGGUUAGCUUUCUGGUAUCAAGUCAUUUGUGUGAUUUUCUAAUAUUUGUCACUACGAAACAACAUCUACAUCCUAGAAUACUGGAAGUGCAAUAAGUGCAACUGAAGUAACUGACAACCCAGACCUCAAUUCUAAAGGAACACAAAUGGAUGUUGCAAUACAAGCAGUGGAGACACAAAAAAGAGACAGUUCAAUCACUUUGACACCCUCACCAUUUACAAAGUCCAGUGAAGGAACUAGUGGUACAAUCCCUGCAAAACAAAAUGAAGAAACCACCAAGAAGCAACGUAUCUGAAUGCUGCCUAUUACAGCAUCUAAAAGAUUUUACUACUAUUACUAUCACUAAAUAAGUAGACAUACAUAAUAUCCUUUUGAACUACUAUAUUAUCUAUCUGGAUCAUGGGAAACCUAUUUGUCCGUACAUUUUUUAAAAUUUGCUGCAUCUACUUAUUUGUCUUUGGGAACUUGCUAAUUCUAAUAUUAGGUGGCUCUUAUGUUGUUUGCCUCGUAAUCGUACAUGCCUCUAAUUAUGUCGCACAGUGCACUAUUUUUAGUUCAACGAAAACACUUUUUUAACCACUGCACCAAACACCCGCGCAUCGCCCUAGUAUAUAUGUAUAGAAAUGGGUACGUACAUAGUACAGAUUGAGUUUGAGAGAGAUUUGGAUGGGGUCGCAAUGAAGUAUGUUUUGUCAUCAAUGUCUAAAAACAUUCUUCGUGGCCACUUAGGCAUCAUUGAAGUGGAUCAUGACUUUGCCAGGGGUUGAGAUUUAUUGAUUGGUUUUCUAUCGGAUGGCGAGAAAUUUAGUUAAAAGUAUGAUACACGGGGGAUAUGAUGAGUGUAGGAUACACUUGAAUCUCGUCUAUAAUUGAUUAUGAUAAGUAUAGACAAAAAUUAAAGGGCUUUGAACCAAGGAAAGAAGGGAAUAAGAUUUAAUUCUUUAUUUUGUAUUUUGAUAGAUUUUUUGAGGGAAUCAACAGCUUUUUAUACCACACAGUCUUGGUGACAGCCGGAAAUUGCCAUUUGAGCAUAUUUCAUGCAUUAAAACGCAAAAAAAAAAAAAAAAAAAAAAAACCUGCAGAAUAUGAAGCGGUUUGGAGUCGAGACCUCGAGUUCGAUUAUGCUUAGUAUCAAUAAAUAAGCCACCUAAAUUCUAGUGACAAUCAGUUUUUUUUUUAUGUAUUUUUUAGAGAAAAUAUCAAUGAUUUCAUUCAUUUAAAUUAGCAGAUGUAUCAUUGAUUAAAAAAAGGAGAGAAAAUUAUCCCACCAUACAAAUCCCUGCUCUAAGCUAGCUGCCAGGUCUGUUCCUUGCUCUAAGCAGUCACGAACAGUUUUAUUUUAUGUUAUAACACUAGAAAUGCUAGUUGCUCCUCCAAUUGCAAUAUGUUAUAUGUUAUACUAGGGAUGAUGCUGAAUCAAGUAACUCAACUCGAGCUCGGGAGUUAGUUGAUCAAUAACUCGAUUCGAAAUCAUUUUGAUCGAUCUCGAACUUAAGUUUGAGCCACUCGUUUGAGCUCAAACUCCAAUAUUUUGUACUAAUAAACUCGAUGAAUUUAAUGGAGUUUUUUAUAAUAUAUAUUUUGAUUUUUUAUAUAUAAUAUUAUGAAAUGUCAAUAAUAUUCUUUAUUUAAAAUUAUAUAUAAAUAUAUUAAUUUUUAUUACGUGAGCUUGAUUAUACUCGAAUAGGCUCAAUUAAACUUGAUUACACUCGAAUAAACUCAAUUGAUCUUGAUUUGACUCGAUUAGAUUUAAUUAAACUUAAUCUCGAGUUCGAGUAAGGUAAAUUGAAGAACUUGACUUCUAAAAACUCAACAAACUCGUACUUGAGUUCGAAAUCAAUUAUUUUACCUCAAAUAAUGCACUAUUCAAGUUUAAUUCGACUCGAAUGCAUCCCUAUAUUAUACUUCUGAGUACAUGUACAUAUAUUUAAAUGAAAUUUUGCCAGAUUGGGGGUGAAUAUAUUUAAUGUUUUUUUCUUAAUACAGGCUAAGUUCACGCCGAUUUGAUAAUAUACAUAUAUGUACACAGUAUACAUGAGAUGUAUGCAUACAGAUUUGAGCUCAAAAGAACCCGUUAUAAUCCCAAAGCUAACAACUUUUUUCAAAGAGAGAGAAGGAAAAAAAAAGAAGAAGAAAUGGUCCGACUACUCAAAACAAACACUUACAAAUACCUAGAAUCAGACACAAGCAACAGGGGAAUUAGUGAUCAUGCACUCAGCCAAAAAAAGGCCACGAAUUUUUCUAGUAUUUUAACUUACAGCUAGGAAUGGCAGUGGAUUCCCCUGCCUUAUUGUCCAAACCAUAGUUAUUAAACCCGAUCCGGCCCGUCGGUCGAACCGGUCAAACCAGUGAAUCGGACAUUGGACCGAGCUGGGUUUCGAGUUAGAUCGUUUAAGCAAUCAACCCGUUGACUAGUCAACGGACCGGCGGUUCGACCGGAUUAAACCGAAAAUCCGGCCGAUUUUGUCUACAAACCGGGUUCCUGAAAAAAAAUUUAUGCCUUUGAUGGGAUUCGAAUAUUGGACGUAUGAGCAUUGCAACAACGCAAAAACCACCACGCUACUUCACAAUAUGGUGCCAAGGUUUCUUACUUAUAGUAUAUAAACCUUUUUCAAUUUUAUCUUUUUUUUAUUUCUCUAAAACAAAUUUAUUUGGAAUCUUUUAAUAAAAAUUUAUGACCCCCAAACUCUAUAAGUUAUAAAAUAGACUUCAAAAAUAACAUAUUACAUAAUUCAUUUUAAAGACAAAUAUUAUUUUUAAUAUUUUUUUGCACUUAAAACUUAUAAAUAAAUUAGAUAAUUACAUUGAAUAUAGAUAAAAUUUUAUACUUAAAAUUUGGUGUAUUACUAAAUAAUUUUAUAUUUUAUUGAUUCUUAUAUGAAUUAAUUAUUUUAUAGCAAAUUAAAUUAUAUGAGUAUUUGCUAUGACAUUAUUUAUUACAAUUUAUAUCUUAUAUCUUAUAUUUAAAAUUAUGAAAUAUAAUAUUUAAAUAUAUUUAGUGACCCACCGGUUCAACCACUCACCCACUGGUUGAACCAAUAAUCCGUUGAUCCACCUCGUUCGCCGGGUUCCCUCCCGGGUUGGGUUUAAUAACUAUGGUCCAAACAUUUCCCUGCCCCGCUCGGCUUCCUCACAAGUCACUAGUGUGACGCCCCGAAAAAAAAAGAGUUUGAGAACCCGUAAAGACCCUAAUCUUUUCCGAGGGUUUUAUUUCCUUUAAUAGCAUGUUUUCUGCAUUUCCUGGUUUAGGAAAUUUUCCUGAGGAAUUUUUAUGAGUAAUUAUAGUUUUUAGAUGAUUUUUCUACUAUUGGCGAGUUUUUGAAAAAUUAAGAAUAUAUAAUGGACGUGGGACCCACUAGUGCGAAAAGUUCGGAAAAAUUCGGCCAAUAAGGUUAAGUUUCGGAUACUGUGUAAAAUUUAUCGGGUGUUAAUAGAUAAGUAGAGUGUGUGAAAUGAUUGAUGUGAGAGAAGAAAGAAAGGAUAGGAAUGCAUUUAAUGAGGUGACAAGUGUCACAUUCUCAUUGGUUGGACUUUAAGAAUUACUAUUCACUUUCUUGACUUUUUUGACCAAAGGAUUAAAUAUCUCAAAAUUGCCCAAAAAUCACCAUUUUCUUCUCCAUGUUGGCCGGCCCCUCCUAGCUCAAGAAGGAAGGAAAUUUCUUCAACUUUCAAGCUUCCAUUUCACUCAAUCUUCCAAGAACAAAAGCCUACACUAGGUUCCACUCCAUAAAAUCUUUCCUUCUAGUGCUAGUAAGUGUCUUAGUGAAGUUUGUUUGAAGGUCUAAGGUGGCCAACAUCCCUCUCUCUCUUGAUUUCUUGGUAAGUGAUGCUUGAACAUCCUACUACACCUAAUGAUGCUUAAGAUAAGAUUAGUAGUGAUUAAAGUGCUGAAAUUUCUGGUUUUAUCUUGGUUUGAAGUGAUUUGGUGAAGUUUUGAUUUUAUUGAUGAUUUUUCUGGUUUAAUUGGAUUAUGGUGUUGUGGUUGUUUAUGAUGAUUGAUAAUGAGGGGUUAUGACUCUAGUGGAUGGAAAUGAUUGAUAUUUGCAACCAAUUUUGGAUUUGGAAUAAAUUUUGGAAAGAUAGGGUUCAUGAAGCUACAUUCUGACCGAAUUUAUUGCACCAUGUUAGAGGCCGAAUUGGCCUUGGCUUAAAACAUGAAAGUUGUAGGUAUUGAUGUGUUUGAAGUGCCUGUAAAAUUUCAGGUUAUUUGGACUAGUGUAGAGUGAGAUAUGUCGAUUUUACUGUUGCUGUUCUGGGUUGAUCAGAAUGCGAAAACUGCACUUGUAAUUGGCCAUUUUGACUGGAAUUGCUUUGGAUUUGGAUGUUGGUGUCUUCUGAUGAAAUGUAGCUGGAUGUCUUAGCUUCCAUAUGCCUUUGGAAUCAAUGCAUUUGGACCUGUACAGACCGAGUUAUACCAAUUACAGCAUAGUGGGAUUUGUGAACCUGUUUUAGUGGUUCUGGUUUGGUAUUUUUGGCAUAUUUGACCUAGUUGUGCUAGGAUUUGGAUUGAGUGGCCUUCUACAUUGUUGUAGCCCUGUUUCAUAGCUUCGAAACGGUGGGUCUUACACCCCCAUCCGAUAAUCAUAGUGAAAUUGACACCAUUACCGCAUAAUAAGGGCAAAACAGUUUUCUAUUUGGGGCCAAGACUAAGGCCAUUUUCUAAUUUCUGGUUUGCUAUUAUGCUCAUUUAUGCAUAUGAAACCCUAUUGGGGUUGUGUUUAGCAUUGCUAUAUGACUCGUUAUCGAGUCUCAUUGCAUUUGUUGCGUGAUUUUAGGGCGUGACGGUGGUGCACAACGUUCUUUUGACUAAAGUAUUUGAAACCGCAUUGUGCUAGCUAGGUGAGUGUACUACUCACUUAUGUGCUAUUACAUGGCUUUGAUCUUUGUACUUGAGAUGUUGAAUGUUGAUUGAUCCAAGUGAGAGUGUACUUUAUCACUUUCACUUAUUGUUUCGCAUGUUAUUGGAAAGUUAUAUGAAAUGUUAUAUGAAAUGUUAUAUGAAAUGUUAUAUGAAAUGAAAUACAUGACUUCAAAUAUUAUCCAUGAGCUCAACCCCAUUGGUUAUUGAUUGAAUCGAGCCGGCGAGGGCUUGGUCGUGCCAAUUAAUGUGCCUUGGGGCAACAUCAUAGGGAAUCUUGUAGUAUGAGAGACUCUUGAUUCCGGUUUACUCGAGUAAUACCACAAUGCAUGCGUUUGGAUUUCGGGCCCGGUUGAGGAAUGUUAGGAGGAAGGGAAUGGAAGUUAAGAGGAGUCUACGGUUGGUUACCUUUCAGACAUUGACGGAGAGUCAAUGAGACCUGAUCAAGAAUUCAAACGAGGAAAAGGGCUCUUGAGAGCCACCCGUAUCCUUUUAUCCUCAUUAUUAAUGUGUGGCUUUAUUUAUUUUGGUAAAUUGGACUGUUAAACUUGAUGUAUCCAUGAACUUGGUUGCUUGAGUUGUAUUCUCACUGGGCAAUUAGCUCACCCCGUUCCUUUUGUUUUCCUUACAGGAAUAUGACUCUUUUGGAAUGAAUUUUGAUAAAUGGUUGCCGAAUGAACUAGAUGAAUGACUCUUUUGUAUUGUAUAUAAAAUGGGACCCUAAAUGUAUCAUUAGGGCCGUUUUCACUUUUGUUUUGGCAAACCAUAUAUGUAGUGACUUUUGUAUCACUUUUAAAUGUCAUUUUGGUUUGUAAAGGCUAAAUGUUAUGUGGUAUAUGUAAUUCGAUGUUUGGUUGGGUUCGGACGAGUCGGUUACUAUUCAUGGCCGACUCCGGAUUUUAUUUCUUUUAUUUUGGGUUAUUUUGCCCUUUUGCCUUAUUUGCGCGCGUUAUAAGUUCCGGAACGUGGUAGAUCGCUCUAUACUGCACCGUUAGUCCUGGCGAGAGUUGGGCAGGCAGUCCGCUAACCUCUUUGGUUCGCUUUAGGGGAAGGUGGGGCUGUCACAACUAGUCACAAGACAAAAAGCAUACAAUAAAAUAAAGGGUUAUUAUCACUUUACCUCAUUAACGUUUAAUACUAUUAACAAAUUUUCUCUUAAUGUUAUUUUUUAGUCACUUUACUUCAAAUACUAACGGUCAAACUUAACGGAGUUUGUUAAUUAAAGUGAAAAGACAUGUCUAACCCUUAGAAUUAUUAUCACUUUACUCGCAUAAAAUUUAGUCUCAUUAUCAAUUUACCUCCUAAAGUUAUUUUUUAGACAAUUUAUCCUACUAUUAAACCAAUUUAACAAGUUAAAAAAUUUUAGAAGAAAAUACCCUCCCCUUUGCAUAAUAAAAAUAAUAAAAAAUUUAAAAUGGCUAUUCUCCUUUUUAGUAUCAAGAAAAAAGUCAGAAUAAUAAUUUCUUUCUUUUUGGCAAUCAUAUUAAUAUUGAAAAAAAUUAAAAAGAUGGAGAGGGGGAGAGUGAGAGAGAGAGCUCAAUUUUUUUUUAAAUUACAAAUAAGAAAUAAUUAAAUACUUUUAUUAUUUUAAAAUUAUUUUACUUUUUUGUUUACCAUUAAAUUCCAAUUCUAAUAUCGACAACCUUAAAGUAAUACGAUAAUGUUAGAUUUUUCUUUAUUUUCUUUUUUGCAAAAUCUAAUUUUUUGCCUCCAUCUUUCCCAUCUAUUUUUCUUUUCCUAAUGUUAAUAAAUGUGAAAAAAGAAAUUUGAGAAAAUCAUUUUAUUUUUAUGUUUUUCGAUCUUUUAAAGUGAAAAAAGGAAGAAUAACCAGUCCAAAUUUUUUAUUUUUAAUUAUACAUAAAAAAGCAAAUAUAUUUAAAAUUUUGUGACCAUACUAGUUAGAUUAACGAUGGGGUAAAAUGUUUAGAAAAUAAUGUUAGGAACUAAAGUGAUUGUAUCACUAUAAUCUAAAUGAAUAAAGUAAUAAUAACAAUGUAACAAUGCUAUAAAAUAAAAGGGUAUUUUUGUCCAAAAUUUCUUAACAUGUUAAGUUGAAUUACUCAUGGGAGUAAAGUGACUAAAAGAUAACGUUAGGGUGUAAAUUGAUAAUAGUGAUAUAGUUUAAGGGGGUAAAGUGAUAAUAAUCUUGAAAUAAAUGUAUAAUUAGUACAAAUGUAAUUAAUAAUUUAAUAUAAAUAUAUUAGCAUAACUAAUUAAUAGUUUCUAUUAAUAUAAAUAUAUAAUUAUUUGUAUAAUUAAUAAUAUUAAUUAUAUUACAUAUAAAUAAUCUAAUACCCAUAUCUAAUAAUAUUAAAUAUGUUAUAAUCUAAUAUCCAUAGUUAUAUAUAUAUGGGUGACGUGACUGAGAUAUACUUUUUUUUUUUCAAAAACGAUAAUUAUUGUAUAACUUAAUCUAUCCUAUAUUAGGCGGAGGAGGUGGACCUAAAGAAGUCUAAAAAUAAUCCGGAGAGGACUGAACCACCACCACCAGAAACCCCUCCCCCACCGACCCACCACACCCUGCAUCUGGGGCCAUCAGCCCCAAUCAACCCUGCAGGAAAGUAAGCCCACACCAGGGGGAGAGCAGGUGGCUCAAUCCUUAUUUCGAGCCCAGAAGCGCAAGAAAUUCAAAAUUUUGAAUGCAUAGCCUCCAUAAUAAGAUAUAACGGUCCAGUCCUGGUCUCGCUUCUCCCUAAUUUUGCUUCAUCAAUCAAAGAAAAUUUCGUCAUUUUCUCCAACUUCUCCAGAUCCAUCAAUUCUCUUCCGUUUCAUCCCUGUUUUUGAUCCAAUUCCAAUGGCAACUCAAAUUGGGCCCUUAAAUACGCCUGGAAAAGAUGGAAAAUUAUCAGCUUCCCAUUCCUGUUCGGUAUCCAAGGUCAGAGUCGUCAUAAGAGUUAGACCCUUCCUUCCCCGAGAAAUUUCGGAAAAAAAUGGCGAUGCCGAGUCCUGCAUUUCCGUUUUUGACUCAGAACUGAAGUCUUGUGAUGAAGUGACUGUGCACCUCAAAGAUCAAGAAACUAGGCAAGUCCAAAAAAAUACGUUUUACAUUUUCCCCCCCUUCCUUUUUGGAGGUGUUAGUUAUUUUUGGACCUUUCUAUUUAGUUGAUUGAAGUGCUAUCUUUUGUUGGAGGAUAUAGUCGGAACGAGUGCUUCAAAUUGGAUGCCUUUUUCGGGCAAGAAGACAACAACAUUAGUAAAAUUUUUCAGGAAGAAGUGAAGCCGUUGAUUUCAGGUAUUUUUAAGGGCUGCAACGCCACUGUCUUCGCAUAUGGUGCUACGGGGAGUGGAAAAACUUACACUAUGCAGGUUUAAUAUUUUCUCUGGACACUUUAUUUUCAUUACCAGAAUUCUGCCCCCGAGGGACUUUUUAAGAUCUUUGUUUUUUCGGCCCCAUUAAGAAUUCAGUUUGAAGAAUUUGUUGAAUGUAUGGAACUUAGCAUUACUACUGCUACUGUAUUUGCUCAAAAGAUGUAACUUGAUUUUACCUAUAAAAUUUGUUAACGAAUGCUGUAAUUAAUGAGCUUUUGCUUGUAUGUAAACAAUCUGAAUGAUGUUGAACAGUAGAGAAGAUUGGUUGCCCGCACAUCAUGCUGGCACUGCUUUUUCAUUUUUCUUCGUUCUUCCCUUUUUAGUUUCGUUUCAUUGUUUUGCGUUAUUCAUUUAGCUUUUCGAGUUUUUAUGUUUGACUUGAACACCUAAUAAGUGAUAAGAGCAGAAGCAGUACUCUACCCUUGAUCUGGUUAAAAGGAAACACAGUAUCCUAACUGUCGUGCAAGUAUCUUUUUCAACAGCCUCCUCAUAUUCAGGUUGUGGCUACACAGAUUUAGUCCUUUCCUGAUCCCUUGAAUUCCUCAACAAUUGUGGCUGCAUAGGUUGUGGCUAAUUGAGCUUGUAGGAUGAGUUUGUGUUUUGCAUUGCACACAGUCUUAUUUUAAUUCCCAUCUGCCUUAUUGUGGAAAAUAUGUGUUUGCCUUAAGGAUAACUGCGUCGACUGUUGUAACAUAUAAAGCAGCAUUCUUGCUUUGUUUGAGUGGGAAGAAAGGGAUAAACUUGUCAUAUAUCAUACAUUAAGUCAAUGAAAGGUUCCCUUUCUACUCUUUAUAUGCAUAAGUGUAAAUUAAUUGAUGACAUUGCAGGGGAGUGAGGAGUCGCCAGGUCUGAUGCCGCUUGCUGUGGCCACCAUUCUCUCUAUUUGCCACAACACAGAAAGUAGAGUAAAAAUCUCAUACUAUGAGAUCUACAUGGACAAAUGCUAUGAUCUUUUGGAACUAAAAGAAAGGGAAAUUGCAAUAUUUGAUGACAAAGAUGGACAAAUUCAUCUUAGGGGAUUAGCUCAAGUUAGAGUGAACUCAAUAUCUGAAUUCCAUCAGGUGUUUUCUUGUGCAAUUCAGAGGCGUAAGGUUGGGCAGACAAGCCUCAAUGAUGUUUCUAGUAGAAGUCACGGUGUGCUGGUGAUAUCAGUUUCGACCCCUUGUGAUGAUGAUAGUGGGAAAUCUGUGGAUGGCAAGCUAAACCUGAUUGAUUUAGCAGGUUUUUUUUUUUAAUCAUUACUGUGUCUAAUAGUGUCAGAUAACUGUCCAUGAAAUUCAAAGGAAAACUGAAUUUCUUUAUUGAUUCAGGAAAUGAGGACAACAAAAAGACAUGCAAUGAAGGAAUUCGUCUCUAUGAAAGCGCCAAGAUCAACCAGUCGCUUUUUGCACUUUCCAAUGUUAUCUAUGCACUAAACAACAACAAACCCCGAAUACCCUACAGAGAAAACAGAUUGACACGGAUACUGCAGGAUUCUCUCGGAGGAACAAGUCGUGCUUUGAUGGUUGCUUGCCUGGUAAGUUCUGUUGUUUUGUGUACUAAUGCGAGGUUCGAUGGAAGUUUGUACAGGUCUUUUGCAUUUUUCCUUUUUCUUUUUUCUUAUCUUUUUUGCCGCUGAUCAGAAUCCAGGAGAGUAUCAAGAAUCAGUUCGCACAGUUAGUUUGGCCUCCAGGUCACGUCACAUAUCCAAUUUUGUAUCUUCAGCUCAGAAAAAAGAUGCUCCAAGUGUCAGCAUGGAGGCAAAGCUUCGUGAGUGGCUGGAAUCUAAGAGCAAGACAAAGAAUGCUCAAAUGAUCGGUAGAUGUGGAUCUCCGGUAACCAUAAAAAGUCCUACUUCUGUGAGCUCUCUAAAAAAGCCAAAAACAGGCUGGAGUUCUGCAAAACGAAGAAUUGAUAGCAACCAGGGUGCUUCAACUUCUGUGGCUCACAGAAAUUUAUUUAAUCAUGGAGGUCCUGUAGAUCCAGGGAAGGAGGUAAACAUGAAACUACUUUCUCCAAUUGGUUAUUGCACAGAUGAACCUGCAAUUAGAGAGCAGAAGAUGGCAACAGGCAAAUGUUCUACAGGACCAUCCCCUGUUAGUGCUAAAACUAAGUCACCACAAAGUCCCUUGAGGAAAGUCCUUUCUCCAAUUGACUCCAAUAUAAAAGCUGACGACAUAAUUUCAGAAGAUCAACCUCUUGUUUCUUCUGACCUGAAAACUCCCAAAACACCUUUUAUUCAUAAUGGUGGUAAUGACCAGUUUGAGGGCACUGGAAACCCCCUUGAAAAAUUCCAUACUCGAAGUACUAACUUGAAGGUAUGCGUGCACAUUGUAUCAUGCUUAUAGGUAUUUUAUCUACAACUUCGAGUUUGAUCCUUUCCGUUCUAUCAAUGACAGGGCACUCUGGUUCAAGAAUAUAUCGAGUUCUUAAACACAGCAACCAGGUAAUUUUUUCCCCUGGCCUAGAAUUUUCCGUUUCCAUUCUCAGCGUUCCGCAGACUUAAUAACAACUGCGCUUGCUUCUUGUCAGGGAAGAGCUACUUGAGCUAAAGGUAGAUCAAAUUGAGGAAAGGAUCAUAUUUUUUAUUCAGAAAUAAUCUUUUUUUUUUUUUUUGGAAGAAUCGGAAAUGACUAUUUUCCCAUUUAAGUUUUACAUAGCCCUUUUGCUUUCUUAAUAGGGAAUCGGGCAGAAGAUGGCCGAGUACAUUACUGACCUUAGGGAGACGAGUCCUUUAAAAUCAGUAAGGAAUUUUCCAGCAUAAUGUCAAUAAAGUUCCCUGCCCAACAAAAACAAUUGAGUGCUUAACAUUAUUGACCCUGUGACUGUUACAGCUGAACGAUUUGGAGAAAUUAGGCCUUUCAUCAAAGCAGGUAUGGGAUAAACAUUUUGGAAUAACUGCAAGGAGUAUUGUCCUGUGAGAAAUUACGAGCAGAAGACGUGCACUGUUUCAUACUUAUUUUCUGGAUCUUUAUAGGUACACAAUAUGUUCAGCAGAGCUGCAAGAGGUGUUUUUGGAUAAGCUUGUAUGAAACCAAGUCACGAAAUCAUGAAGAGGAUAGCUUACAAAUUUCAGCCAGCAUCAUAACCAUUGUAACAGUUAUUUAACAGCCCUGCUCUUACCCUAAUUUCAGCAUUUGAGCUGUAGCAUCCGCAAAUUGAUGUCAUGGUAUGUAUUAACCUUUUCUUUAAAUCGUAAUUAUUGUCUUCUGGGAUGGGCGACAGCAGCAGAUUUCAUGGCACUGAACGAACACUAACCAAUUCCAUGGUCUAUCACCUUUAAUUUUAAUUUUAAUUUGAAGAAGACUUUGUAUUUUUUUUUUCAGUUUUAUAUAAAAGGAUUCAACUACUGUUUCGAACACUUGUUUACGGGCUUGUCUGAUUCGUCUUCUUCUGGUUGCGGAUGAACUGAACCUGCUGCUUUUGGAACUAAUUUCUCCUCCUUUUGUUAAAAAGAAAAUUGAUGAACAGAAAGUAUUUGAGGGAUUUUGACCACAAGUCGUUGAUAACAACACUUGGCAAAUUACUCACAACACAUCUUUCACAGUUAAACGACGGACUAUCCACUUAAUAAAUUACUCACAACACAUCUUUUACAAAAAUUAAUCACUCACCAACACAACUCUAACUCUCAUAUUUGAAAGAAAAAAAUUCAAACACGAGUUUUUUUUUACCAAAAAGAUCUCUUAACCCUUCAAACAAACCUUUUUAAGAUCUUUUGCACCAAUUUAGCCGGUAAAUCAAUCGAGAAAAAUUGACCCACUAUUUUGGAUUUUUAAAGGUAAAAAUAUCUUAUUUUGAUUGACACAAUUUUUCUCCCAAGAAAAAUCAAGCUUUCAAGGUUAAUCCGUAUUCUAUUGCGAGGUUAAUCCGUACUUUGACCCAACUUCAUAGGAAGUAAAUGCAAUUAACAAAAAAAAAAAAAUCACUAACAACAUCAUCCCCUACCUCUUUCCUUCUCCUCAACUACCCCCCACUCACUACACACACACACACACAGAUGAUUUAGUGACUUAUCUUCUCCUCCGCUCCCACACUCAAAAGAGACCAUCCUGACCACUUACUCCAUAUGCUAUUAACUUGCUACAAAUCAGAUGGAUCCCCGACGAUUUGAGGUCACACUAGCAUGUACUCACUGGUUUCUGCAUUUUGAGCGAUUCUUCGAAUCAGACAGAUUGCCGAUUUCAAAGUCGGUGCGUGCGACGCGACAUGCAUACAUCUAUCUACAAAGCACAAGAUCUAUUGAAUACUCGCUAACAAACAGAAUUUUCCCUUUCUUUAAUUUAACAAAACAAAGGAGUUUUCAUUAGCUAUGAUCAUACUCAAAAACUCUCUUCCUGACCACCAACAUACAGACAAGCAGAGGUACAGUACCAGCAAACGCACAGGUUACUACCUUAAAAUUAAUACACACACAAGAAGAUAGGCCCAAAGCAACCACGGAGAAUCCAUGGCCACUUUAUUACAGGGAACUCCCGUGACCCAUCAUCAUCAUAAAGAUCAGAUGAUGAUAGGGUGACAGGAGAUAUUAUACUACUACUUCUACUACGUCCCCCGGACAGAUGCUGACAAACCGACAACCGACACACUAAAUAUUGCUAGUGAUUAUUAUUUAGUCAUCAUCUCUGCUUGUUUUGUUAAAACAGCGCCUCAUUUGCAGUUGCAGGGAUUGCACUUGCAGUCAGGUCCGCACUUGCAACCUCCGUUCUCAGCUGCAGCCUCCUCACCGGCCCCUUCCAAGUAUCUGUCACAGCCCAUGCCAAAGUAAAAGACAUAUCAAGUCAGAUUUCAGAUCCGAUUUCACAGGUGCCCCAUAAUAGAAAAUUAGGGGUAAUAAAUUGAAAUAAUUUUGAUAAAAGAAAAUAGUGACACAUACGCCGUCUUGGGUGGUGCAACACCGAGAAUGAGAGUUUCAGCGGCGGUGUUCUCGGUGUAGCUCAACUCGGGGUACAUCUUGCAUCUGCGAUCAUCAUUUAACACCAUCACGCAAUCAGUCCGUAAACAAAGAAGACAAUUAACUGACUCCAGAUUUUAAUUUAGAGAUAGCAGCUAGAUAGGCACACAACCCACAGGACGUCCUGAUUUAUGCUUUAGACGACAAAUUUUCCACCACCGUCAAAGAUAAUAAAAAAACAGAUUUAUUUUUUUUUUUAAAAAAAAUCAAAUUUACAAGCGAAGAAGGCUUGAUAGAUCAAAACCAAAAUGAAAAUGAUAGAUCCUACACGAGAAAACCGGUCGAGGCUAUUGAUCCGGAAUUUUAACCCGAGAAAGAAAAGAAAGCAUGCACGCACGUCCAAGGCAAUUGCUUGAAGGAAGAAAAGUAAUAGAAAGUUACCCGCCACAGCCGCCGCUGCACUUGCAGCCAGCGCCACAGCCACAGUUUCCUCCGCAGCACGACAUUCUUUUUUGUUUCUUAGUAAAAGAGAUUGGGAGAUUAUUACGAGAGUUGAGAAGAGAGAUGAAAAAACAAGCAACCCUCCAAUGC